UAAAAAGCCAGCCUAUAUAUACACAACUAUGGCCCUAUAAGUUAGUUUUGCCCAAAUCACCAUGAACUUAUAUUUGGAAUGGUUAUGGGAAAAAAUGAAAAGUUCCAGUUUAGAUUUAGCAUGGAUGAAACUUACAAACCAUGCUUGAAGUACUCUUCUUGCUAACUUUCCACAGCACGAAGGAAAACUUUGCCCAUAAAGGGGCCUGCCACGUGGGCAUAUGAAAAUUCUAAAUCUUGAUCACCUAAGGAAUCCAGUAGAGGGAUUUUCCAACUUGUGUUUCUUACACAGUCAUUCAUUUAUCCAUUUUUCUGUACUUACCAAAUUGAUAUUUAUUUCAGUUCUGUAAUUACCAGAUUGAUAUUUAUUUCACUUUUGUUUUGGAACCACAAUCUACAGGAUUCACCUUAAACCUUAUGGAUAUUGUAGCAUAGAUUAUGCUCUUACACCUAGUCUUAUAAUUUACCCAUGCACACAAACAUUCAGUAUUGACAUAAUUUCCAGAGGCCUACUUUUGUUUCAGAGAGCUUUAUUUUUCUAUUUGAAAGCAGGGAGGUCGCUGCUAUAAGCACCUGAUCCUAAACCUCGAUAUCACAGAUCAAGACAGGUUGAGAUACAAUUUAAACAAAUUCUAAGGGAAAAAUAAGGAUGACGUUAAUGUCAAAUAAGGUACCACUAGGUAAUUAAUGCACAGGCAAGAAAAGGAUCGGUGAAGGUAAGAUGAUAAAAUAAAAGUUAAAAGGUGCAUACCUUAAAUUCUUUUGAAAUUGCUCAUCAUCACUUGAAAUCUCAUCCAACCUCUGGACAGAGUUCUGCAGGGCAGCUACAGACCAUGGAUUUGGUGCAGGUAGUUCAUCAGAAAAAUAUCUUCUCCUGAUCAACUGAACAAAUGCAUGUCACUAACAUUUAAACUUAGAUUACAACCAAAUAAAAACAUUAGUAAAUUUCCACAUUAUGAUACAAUAGCAUUGAUACAUACCAUGCGAAAAAACUUAAUCAAAGCUUCUUUGUCAUAUCUAGCUUCUUUGGCAGCCUGCAAAUAGUAAAUAGAAAUUUAAAAAAAGCUAAUAUAAAAGAAUGAUUUCAAAACCUAUAUAGUCAAAAAGUACUAAGUAAUAUUUUUAACCCAAAAAAAAAAUCAAAACAACAUAUAUUUAAUGGCUAGAAAGUAGACUUAGAGUAUCGAAUGUCCCAUGCCACAUGCUGCAAGUCAAGUGAUCUCUCAAGUCAGUCUCCAAGAGGAUCUGGCUCCUACAAGAAUCUAAACAAGAUUUGAUUGCUAGAGUACACACUGAAUAGUGAACAUAUGCAUGACAAGAUAAAGAACUUAAGAUAAGACAUAAUACGAGCCGUAAAUAAAAAGGCAAAAGAAAAAUUAACAUGGAUAACCAAUGAAAUUUGCAAUAUAAUUACACACAUGAUAAUGUGGGUUCUGUGAAAGGUGCUAGAGAAUUGAAUUUCUGAACAUCUAUAGGAGGUUGUUGAAGAUGAUACUUGGUUAGAUGUAGUGCCAACAUAUUCACUAAUAGCCUCCAACUCAUAGUAUCCACUCCCAGCAGAGAAAGCACAUAAAAGGCUCCUGAACCCACCAACCCUAACCAGCCCAAACAUUUUCAUACAUUUUGCAACACAAUCAACAAAAACUUUUGAGAAUGUUAACAUCUUCCAUACCCUAAACAUGCAAGUCUAUAUAUCUGCAGAUGGGUCAAUUUGGGUUGACUGCAAAGGUAGCUAGGUGCAACCUACCUUUGUUUUUGGAAAUGCACCCACUUCAAUGACACUUGCAAAUCUAUAUAUCUGCAGAUGGGUCAAUUUGGGUUGAAGAUAUGCUAGAAUCAGUUUCCAAUCAGGCAGAUCCAUCUCAUUUACUAACUGCAGCUGGGUUAGAUUCAGGUCAGCAAGUAUAGCAACAUUAUCAGGCUACCUUUGGUCUAACUAGAUCCAAAUCCGAAACCAAUAUGUUUGGUUUUGGUUGGGUCGAGCACAGGCUGGGAUCAAUUGGGUUAAGUAUGUGCCUAUGUCAUCACUAGGGCACAGGAAAAUUUACUGUCUAUAUGAUGAAAGCAAUAUUAUAGUAGAUAUAGUAUCAACACAGAUCACUAUAUCUAGCUAAUGUUUAUCAUCUCUUGCUCAGUGUAAUGAUACAAAACUAUAUAGCCAAAUUUUUCUUUGCUAUUUAUUUAUUUUGCAAAGACUAAAUAGCAGUUCUUCAAUACUACAAAUAAUCAUAUGCCUAUCAUUUUAAGUUGCAAUAGGUUUAGGCCUUGUCUUUGGUCUGGUCAGGUUGUAAAGUGACCCAUUUAGAUCCAUUUUAGCUUUGUGACUGGAUCAGUUUAGGAACAUGCUAUGGAUAGCCAAGUCCAACACUGAAAUGAAAUCAAGUUCAAAAGUUGGACCAAAUCCAACACAAUUCAUUAAGAGACAUUCUGAAAAAUAGCAUUUAGUUAAACAGCCAACAUCUUUCAAAUCAAGGGGCAUGUGAUGUAAGGACAAACACUAAGUUUGUUAAAAGGUUUGUAUAUCAUUAAGCUACAAUGUUUUCAUUAAAAAACAAAUCUAAAGGGCAUUUAGAAUUUGAUCACAAUAAUGUGUAGCCAAAUCCAAUCCCUCUGAAAUUGCUUUUAAGAUUUGGAUCUAAUCCAACUGAAAUAACAUGGUAUUCCAGCGUAUGGAUAUGGUAUACAAAGGAGGUAACAACAGGGAAAAAAACAGUAGGUAGAAGUCUGCAUCAUGUACAGGAACUAACCCCAAACAGGAAGAAAGAGAAGCCACUCAAAAAAAAAAAAAAACAAGAACUACAUAAACAAGUGCAGAAACCAAAAAAGACUAAAGAAAAGGCAACAAAUUAGCCCAACUAUAGCAACCGCUUAAAACAACUCCAAACAAAGGCAACUCCAUUUUUAUAAUUCAUCUAUUAGAAGUAUGGCAGAUUUCAGAGUAUGCAUAGCUGCUUUUCAAUAAAUAGCAGACUUUCGUGAUACAUUGCACAUACAUUUUGCACAUGCAUAUAUUACCUCAGGCCGUACCUAGUACAAAAUACCAUUGCUGUUAAAAUCUUACGGUUCAUGAUCUGGAUCUUACAAACUGGAUUAAAAUGGCCCUAUACGAUCCGAAUCCCAUCCUAGGAUCAGGCUUAGUGUAGGACCACAAGAUUUAGAUCCACAUAAUUGACUAUACAUUCCUUCGAAUCAUAGACUCUAGCUUGAUAUGCUAACUACAUGUUAAAUCAUGGGUAGACCCAUUAUCUAUAAAUCAAGUGACUGUGGCUUUUAAAUUAGUUAUCAUCAGUAAGUAUUAAGAAGUAAAAUUAGCAAACCUACUAUUGGACUCUAUAGAGUUAAAAACAAGUUGCACAUAUUUGUCUUUUUUUUACAGGCAUAUGUUAAAGAUUUGUUCAUGUUUCCUCCAAAAAUAUGAUAGCUAAAAGGAUAAUUAAAUUGCUAGAUAAUAUAUAAACUUCCUGAAUAACCAAAUAAAAAAAUGGUCACAUUAAACAUGUUAUAUAUGGCCUAUAUUUGAGAAAACUAGAGUUCUCGAUGUAUGGCUUUCUUCGUUCAUUUACUUUAUAGUUGACCCAUAUUUCAAUUCCACGUUUCUUGUGUAGUUAAAAAGUCCUAUAAGAAAUCAAACAAAAUCUUACGAUCUACGAUCCGAUCAGCUAGCCCCUUCUAUGAUUUACGACUCGAUGCCGAUCUUAACAACAAGCAAAAUGCAUUUAAAACAGAUCAGAAAUUAUUCAAGUAGGGCACUGAGAAUUUCUGAUAAGCUAACAAAGGAGACAGAUCUAAUAUAUUCAACACCAAUAAAUCAACACGACUAAUUAUUAUCUUGAAAGUUCGCAUGUAACAAGUGACUUAGGUAUCAGUAGAAAGAGUUGUAAAAGUGGUGCAUUACAACAUAUCUCAGCAUAACUGCAGAACACCUGAAAUUAAACUCUGAAACUUAUACAUACGCACGCACGCACGCACACAUAAUAUGUAUGUAUGUAUAGUUCUUACUGUGAUAAGGCCUGAACUGCCUGGGAAGCUCUCUGUUAAAGGAAGUUCUUCGCUAGAUGCAAGUAGGCCCUGCUUUUCAACCCACUGGCGAGCGGCGUCAACAAGGUUUCCACUGCUUCCCCUGAUGCCCUCCUUGGCAGCAAUAUCAGCUUUGUUACUGAUAACCAGGUAAGGAACAGGAAGACCUCCAGGCCCUCCAGAUCCAAGUGGUGCUGAAAACGUCCCAGUUGCUGCAAUCUCUGCUGCCCACCGAUGCAAGCUUGUCUUUGUCCUCCUUUGGGAGAGAUCAUGAACAAAUAUAACGCCUAUGGAUGAGUGUCAAAAUAGGAAAAUGACUACAGUAUGUUAAUUCUCAAUAAACAAACUGAUCUAAAUUAUACUUUUGUUCUCAAAGAAAUAAAUAAACAAACAAACAUUACAUGCAAUGAUCAUUUCCUUGCUAUUAUCAUAGAUUGAACAUGGUAUUUCCAGCAUUUUCCCCUUUAUUGUUAAGUCAUACGUCAUCAGAUAUGGGUAACGUGCACUAUCUAUGUUCAUGACCCAAGGGGAAUAAGAAAAUUUAUUUACGAAAACUGUUAAUUAUCCCAUUUUAGAAUGCAGCCACAAUAUAAACAAAAUUUGAGACUAAUGAAACCACAAGGACAUAAUUCUUAAGAGCCCCUACAUAUUAUUUCUGUCAAGGCAUGGCUUCUAAUCAUCUAAUAACUGUAAGAAAGAAGCACUUCUCAUGUCCUAUGAGCGAACAGGCUGCAAAGUGGACAGUCUUAAUAUAAACAAUCGUCAUAUUAUGCUAAAGUGAAAGAUAUUCAGAUUAUGAUAAUAAUUUCAAUAUCCCUGGAUUAAGAUCAAAGUUGAAAAUCAAAAAGAAUAUCACAGCUGAAUAAAUCUGGAGAUCAUCAAAUGGCUGGCUGCAGGCCUGCGGUAAAUGCACAAGAUGAUGAUUACAAGACAAUAUAAACAGAAUAAAUCAAAUACCAUGCAUAUGCAGAUGGAAAAUCUGCAUAAUGUCGCAACCAAUAAUAUAAAUGAAAGGGUAAUCAAUCCAUGGCAGGAGGCAAAGUGAUUCAUGGAAAGAGACAAGCAACAGGAAUAAUUUCCAAAGAGGUGGUGGAAAUGACAUGAAAAGGAAAGAUGCAAAUAUAGAAACCAAGCAAAGAAGGACAGAGGCCAACAACCCACUAUUCUAGAUCCAUUUCCAAACUAACCCCCUGAAUACUUCACUAACCAAGGAUUCAUGUACCACAUCUACCCCCAUACCAGUCACAUGUUGGCUGAGUACAGUAACAUACCAAACCAUAUCAAUAAGGCCAUGCGAUUUUUAUAUGAUUAUAGGUUUGAAAUUUGGGAACAAUAUAGCUAAACAUAAAGAUCCAAAAUUCCCAAAAAAAUGAAGAAGAUAUACAAAAUGUUCAAAAAGAAUUCAAAAUUAUUCAAUAUGUAGCAUUUUCAAUUUGUAUUUUAUAAAAGGUUCCUUGAAGUAGCCACGAAUAAUUUUUGAAUAAAUCAUAAAAUAUGUCAAUAAUUAUUGAAUAAUUGCAUAUUCUAUAAUAAUUCAUAUAAGAAGAAGAUUUUAGAGAAUUAAUCAUCUAAGGCAAAAAAAUGCGACCAAAUUGAAAUUGUUUCAAUAAUUUGGAUAGUAGUGUUAUUAUGGUUCCAAUCAUGUGCUCACAUUGCAUGGCUAAUGGCAAAGAAAAGCAGGUCCAUCCCACUCCAAUACUGAUCCAUGCAAGUGCACACCUAUCCCUCUCUCAAUAUCCAAUCCCAUCAAAAACUUAGAAGAUUCCACUCUAUAAAUUUGGUCUCUUCAUAACACUUACCUUUUAAUACGUAACCAUAAACUAAUAAACUCCUAAAGUUUUUGGAUAGUCAUGUGAAGCCUAAGGGCAUCAUCUUUUCUUUUUAUUUGGCAAUCUUCAAAUACCUGAGGUCAGAACUGGUUCCUCUAAAAACAUCAUGAAAACAUGUACCAUACUGAUAAAGCAAAACCCAACACUAUUUUAUCAUAAGCAAAAUCCAACACUAUUUUAUCAUAGGCAAAAUCCAACACCAUUUUAUCAAAAGAAAAGAAAGAAAUUUCAAGCAUGCAUCAUGAAUGAACAGAAGUAGUACAAUAGUGAUCUUAAUGAUGCUGUCAUAUGCAAAAGUAUUGUCACCAGCCUCCAUAGCCUGACGCCCAUUUGUCCCGAUAUUGUAGCUGCCAAAAACCAAUUAGCCAGCGCAAGCAACAAUGCCUCUUAGAUAUCUAUAAACAAUAAAUUUUCAUGGUUUAUUCCAUUCAUCCAGUCUUUAUGUCAUUUUACAGCAUAUAUUGAAGUUGCCUGACUUGGAACUUCCCAUACUUGAAAAUGACUUUGAGUGAUUUCCCUCAUAGAAGAUGACAAUGUUUUGCUUUUAGCCCUAUUUUUCUCACAUUCAGUGGUGAAAAAUUACAAUUUUUCAUAUUCUUGUGAAGAUUUUGAUAUACAUUUUUCUACAAAAACACACCAAUAUCAUGAAAGCAAAAUCCAUUAAUAUCAAUAUAGCAUUCAUGGACAAUUAUUCCCCUACAAGCCAUUAUGAUUUCACAAUAAGAAGUAAAAUUUAGUAAUAUCCUCCUCAACAGAUAUUAUGUUCCUUACCAUAUAUAAAAAGAAGAAAAACAAUAGGAACAUACGACGUUGUGGACAUGUGGAGCCCUAUAUGUAGCUAUGACAAGUAAAACAAUCUAAAACAUGAAAGAUCUGAUGUAAUAUAAGACUUACCAUUGAUUUGUGCAUAAAAAAGAGAUCGGCAAUCCUUAUACUGUUCAUGUCCCGAGACAUCCCAAAGCUCAACAAAGAAGUCCCUUUCUGCAUCACCUUUUAUGCUAUUAGAAGAGCUGCCAGCACUUCCAUAAGUAAUAUGCUGGAGAAGAAAAAAUAAGAUUUUGUGAGGAAACAUUAAGUGAAAGCAUAUCGCCAAUUGAAAAGAAAAAUGUAACAACCAUACCUUCACAUUCACUGUACAUCCUAUUGUCUGAGAUGGUCGAGCAAUCGAAGAACCCUUUACAAUUAGAUGCACUAGUGAUGUCUUUCCAACACCUGAUAGGUGAUUUUAAAAAAAAAUCAUGUUUCAAGCAAUACUGCAAUAGGUUAGCAUGCAAACAUGCAUGGCACAGACGGACAUAUACAUAAGAAUACCUACAUACAAACAACAUAGAUAUGGAUGCAUGCAUGCAUGCAUUGCAUGGAAAAAAUUGUGCGCUAAAACUAAUUAGAAGAAGCACAUACUAUAGUAGACAAAGUGCAUUGUUUUUCUGGCUAUACAAAAUAUAUUAGGUAAUUCAUACUGGAUGCAAACUCUUGCUACUCAUGCAAUUUUGCACCAACACUGCAUAAGCGAAAUACCAACUAGGGGAAGGGAAAAAUAUUUAAACUUACUGAUUUCUCAUGUUUUUAUGUUCGUUCUACUGCUAAUUGUAAACGUGAUCGAUUGCAAACAAAAACACUUAAUAUCUCAAAUUUUAGAUAACCAUCUUUCAGACAACCCUUUUUAGAUGUAGACUCUGUGCAACACCUGAGGAGAAAAUCCAUGUUGCGAAACCACUGAUUCAGCUUCGAACAUGAAAUGCUCCUUUCAGAGUGCAGACAUGCAUCCACACACACGCUUGAAAAUAAAAUAAAACGUGAUCAUGGCUCUAUUAAUGCAACCAGAAUGGGCAUUAAAUGCAAUCAGCUAGACAUAAACUGCAAAUUAAACUCCAAAAAUCAGUCGUCUUGUUAACAGUUAAAUAUAUUUGCAAUAAGAAAGUACAUUCAUUUGUAUUGAUCUCGCAUAAUACACAUUCAAACGGAACACAAAAUCAAAAAAAGGAAAAAAAAAUCUGCAAAACAAUCGGUGGGAGCAAGAACAGUUGAUCAUCUAAACAAUUCAAGAACCAAACUGGUAAAUUAUUUCCGACUAUCUAGCCGGAAGGACUAAAGAUCCAAUUUUUCAGUAACAAAAGAAAGGAAAAGAAAGGAAAAUAAAGAAAAUUUCAAUAUUCCGCAAGAAAAAGAAAAGCAAAUCGAUUGAAUACCAGGCUCUCCGACGACGAGGACCCGGACUUGGCCGCAAGGAGGGCCGCCGUUCUGCUCUCUGCUGUCCCUUCCCCUCCUCUCCCUCCAGAACAUGGCUCCUCCAAAUCCCUCAACCACAAGAAUCUAUUCCCGGACCCAAGAAACCCAGUCCCGCAGAGAUCAAGAGCCCUCAAAUCCCAGAGAGGAGCAACGCAUUGAGAUGGGCAUCUCAUUGACCAAACAAAGAUCCAUCAAGAACGCCAAGAAUCCAAACCUAUAACCCAGAAACAAUAAAACCCUCCUGACCAAAUCGUCUAAAAAACGCAUCAAUCGGAAGAACUGAUCAUGAUCUGAGAUUAAUUGACCAAAGCCCCAGCGCUAUCCGAAUCCAGAACCAAAGAAUUUCGGUGCCGAUUCGGAGAAAGGAGGAGGGUGAUUCAGUCUAAAAGAACGCAGAAAGCGAGGAAUUUGAACUCUUUCCGAAUACCAGAAGGAAUGGGGAGGGAAGAGGAGGAAAACCCAACAAGAUUUGGGAAAAGAAACAGCCUCUUUUGUUCGAGAUUUCUUUUUUCCGCUUACAUAAUGUCUAGGAUCGAAGAAGGAAAAAAACGAGCCGAUGGGCGACGGCCGUCGAACUGAUCGGUUCUCACUUUCGAACUCGCUCGUCCGCUCUACUUCUGAGGCCCUGUUUGGGGAGCUUCUGGCGGGCCAGAAAGCACUUUCUGGCCCUCCAAAAGUACUUUUAGAUGAAAAAUUGUAUUUGGUAAAUUUUUCAAAAAGCUGUUUCAGCUUUUGCGGGAAGCUGAAAACAGCUUUUGGGAGGAAGCUCCAAUUUGGAGCUUUUGAGAAAAAGCUGUUUCAGCUUUUUCGGAAAGCUGUAUUUUUGACAAAAAUGCCCAUAUUAAAAUAACAUAAUUACAUAGUUUGUCCCUUUAUAAACCUAAAAAUUUGCUGGAGCCAAGAACCCUAACCGUCAGACUCCCUUCCAUAAGAAAAGGUAUUUUUCUUUUCAAUUUUGUAUGCAUCUCUUGAACCACAUUUUAGAAGAAAAAAUUUUUAAUCCUUUUCCAUACCUUCCAAAAUCAAUCUAUUAUUUUUUUUAUCAUCAACCUCGCGGCCCACGCUGAGGUCCUCCUCGAGCGUGGACCACGAAGAAGAGCCCCUGGACCGCGGAAAAUUAUUUUAUGGGAAAUUAUGAAAAAUUANNNNNNNNNNNNNNNNNNNNNNNNNNNNNNNNNNNNNNNNNNNNNNNNNNNNNNNNNNNNNNNNNNNNNNNNNNNNNNNNNNNNNNNNNNNNNNNNNNNNNNNNNNNNNNNNNNNNNNNNNNNNNNNNNNNNNNNNNNNNNNNNNNNNNNNNNNNNNNNNNNNNNNNNNNNNNNNNNNNNNNNNNNNNNNNNNNNNNNNNNNNNNNNNNNNNNNNNNNNNNNNNNNNNNNNNNNNNNNNNNNNNNNNNNNNNNNNNNNNNNNNNNNNNNNNNNNNNNNNNNNNNNNNNNNNNNNNNNNNNNNNNNNNNNNNNNNNNNNNNNNNNNNNNNNNNNNNNNNNNNNNNNNNNNNNNNNNNNNNNNNNNNNNNNNNNNNNNNNNNNNNNNNNNNNNNNNNNNNNNNNNNNNNNNNNNNNNNNNNNNNNNNNNNNNNNNNNNNNNNNNNNNNNNNNNNNNNNNNNNNNNNNNNNNNNNNNNNNNNNNNUUCACUUUUCAAUAUUUAAAUAUGUUCGAUGGGGUUGUACCCUUUAUCUAAAAUAUGCUUGUCACCACAGAGACAGCAAAAAUUUGCAACUAAACGUUUGGAAAGUGCCUGCUCAUAGUGGUAAUCCUUUGCAAGAUAAAGCCCUUUCCUUUUUAGUACCCACAAGCUCCUUUCCUUUUAGCACCAUGUUCCAUUAAUUGAGACUGUUGUUGUGCAAAAGCCAUUAGUGAAUUAGAUACAUGAUUUCUUUCCAGGUUCUGCUACUUUUUUGUGCUAGGAGGUUUCAUUUUGUCUCUCUUGCUUACAGCCAUCUUUGUAAAGCCGGCUAAUCCAUCGCAUAGUUAACUCCUAGAGAGAAGAAUUUGCAAUAUUUCUUUGGUUUUUGACUCUUGAUACUGGGCUUAGCAUGGGCGUCCGCAUCGACAAGGCCCCACCUCCGCCAAAGCCCUAAGGAUGCCAAGGCCCACGAGUAAGGAUGUGGUCGGGUGGAGCUUGACCGAGUUGGAUCUAAUCAACGAUACUUUGAAAUUAAUUUCAAACUCAAGCUCAGAGUUCAAGNNNNNNNNNNNNNNNNNNNNNNNNNNNNNNNNNNNNNNNNNNNNNNNNNNNNNGCCUAAUUGAUCAGUUUGAUAAGCUCGAUUCAAACUUGAAUUAAAGCAGGGCUCCAAAACUUGGUUUUAAAUCUGAAUUCACAUUUAAUGUUUCAAAAAUAAAAAAUAUUAAUCAAAAUUUAAUCCAAUGAACCAAUAUAUAGUAUAUAUUAUAUUAUAUAUAAUAUUUACAUAUAACAUAUAUCAUACAUAAUGCAUAACAUAUAUUAUAUAUAAAUAGUAUAUAAUAUAUGUUUUAUGUAUUAUAUAUUAUAUAUAAGAUAAUAUAUAUUACAUGUAAUACAUGUAUUUCAAGCCUUAUCCGGUCGAGCUUGAUUUAGCCGGUUCAAUUUUGAACCUAGCUUGAAAUUAAUAUCGAGCCUAUUUUGCUAGUUCGAGAUAUAUUUGUUUACUUUGGAAUUGAGCUUGAUUCAAGCUUUUCUCGAACCAAUCUUGUGCUUAACUUGAGCUAAUUAUUUAAGGAACCUUCUAUAUUUACUUUAAAUCGGAUGCAGUGAAAAUAUCCCCUUCUUAUGUAAGAUUGGUGCAAUUCAUGAUAAUUUCACCAGCCGAAACCAUCAGCGUUUGGGGUGACCUUGUAAACGCCUCCUAUGAAUCUUAUCCCCUCCUCGUUGCGUUUUGUGAUUGACUUCAUCAGCGUGCGUGUCCGAGGUUGCAGUUUUAUCUGAAAAAGGUUCCUGCUAUCGACUUUGCUUCACGGCUGAGAACAAGCUUGGAUAGAUGAAUGGGCUGCAUACGUCGUGAAGUUUAUCGAGGUACAUGUGUACAUCUUGACAACAACAUUUAGUCUUCAAAUACGCAUCCAAGCAGCCCUUUGCUUCCAUGCUAUUUGAGUGAUCUUGGAGUCAAAGUGAGGUCAUGUUGGACUGGAGUGCCAGCCAAUCUUUUCAUGGUCAUCCGUUUUUCAGGUGCUAGGAGCUAGGCGCAUCACUCUUGAGAGUGACUCGGCUACGGCGAUAGAGUGGAUUCUACAAGAGGGUUGAAGGGAAGCAGAGCAUCCGCUUCUCAGCGACAUCCGAUGGUUGGCAAGAGGUUGUGUUUCCUUCCAAGCGGUGCAUGUAUACCGUGAGGCAAAUAGGGUGGUUGACUGAGUCGUUUCUUAAGCCGCCCAGUAUUCUGGUAGUUUUUUUUUGGACUCGAGAGUCGGACAUUUCUUUAGCUUGGGUAGUCUAUUUUUUCUUGACAAUUCAGGCUAUGCUCAUGCAAAUUAGCAUGAGCAGCCGAUGUACCAAAAAAAAAAAUGAUCGUCCGUUUUUAUAACAAUGCAUCAAGAUGAGUACUUGAUAAAUGAAGCUCAUAAAAAUGAGGGACUAUAAUUGACAGUAUACACGUCUAUGCGUUACAUACAGUGUAGGAUAUAAUUUUCCUACGUUGGCGUGGAAGUUUUGUUCCUUUAGAGAAGUUUGCAAGACCAAUCACUUUAAGUGGGCUCUAAAUUUGAUAGCGAGCAAGCUGAGGUCGAUUCAGGGAUUUUGUCUGAGCCUCUAGAAAAGCCAUAUAUUCUCUCUAUCAAAAAUAACUAAAUAAAUAAAUAAAACAAAGGAUGUAUCUUUCUGAUCUGAUGUUUGAAUGGUUCAUAUGCUUUGCAGAAAACAUUCAUGUUGGCUCCAUUGACAGGUUUAAAAAGGUAAUAGUCGUAACAGAGUAUUGCAUUGGUUACUAGUCGUAAGUAUAAUUAUAAGCUUCCGAUUGUAAUUCUAAUCGUGAACCACUAGAGAAAUAUGAUUAUUUUGACUUUUAUUUUAAUUUUGAUUCCAAAUGUGAACCAAAUGCAUGUUAAACGGGAGGCAAGGAAGCAAAGAUUUGUGUUCUUCUCUUGGCCGUUUUCUAUACCUACUGCCGCCUGCCGGAAUAUCAACUUCCGUGGGUCCCAAUUAAAACGCAUGAAUGAGAUCAGCAAGCACGCCACCCCUGUCCUCUUCAUAUCCAAGUAGAAAAUAAAUAAAACCUCGUUACGUCAAGAACGUUCAUUGGAUGCACAUCUUCCCUGCUUAUUAUCAGUUUAAAUUAAUCGAAUACAUUUAACUAAUAUAAAUCGUUAAGAAAAUCGUGGACAUGCAACGUCCUCAUAUUACUUUUCCGUUGUGUUUCACGUGCUGACGGUCCCCUUAUCAGAGCCAGACACGUGUGACAUAAAGGUGCUUGCGUGGACGCUCAUACGCUCACGAGCAACACGAAAAAAAAUUCUGACAAUCCGUCCCACAAAUAAAACCGGUUACCCAAAUCCGAGUCCCUCAUGCCUACGACUCCACGAGGAGGUUAGGCUUCGCUCGGAAGGCCAUGACGAAGUAUAUAUUAAAAAUAGAUACGGGAGCGUGGACCGCCUUAUUCUGGAGAAAGAGUCAGCCACAAUAAUUGGGUGGAUUUGAGGUUGGAGGUUCUCGAUCCAUCAUUGACUGCUGCUCCAUAAUAUUUGUAAAUUACUGAAAGAAUGCGAUUCUCAUCAGAUCAUGUACGUAUACCAAAAGAUAAAUGAUGUUGUAGACCGAAUUACAUCUUUUGCAGCUCAUCACUCUUAAAAUUUCGCCUGGAUAGGUCAUGAUUUUAUGCUAAUACCUUUAUGUAGUAUUUUAUUUUUUAAUUUUGUCAGCCCAAUGUACCCAAAAAAAAAAAAAAAAUACUGAGCCGAACCAAGGACGAUUCGGGGUUGGGCCGGUUCAGGUUUGGGUUCGCCGAAAAUCGUGCCCCGUUGGACUCUAAUUUGGGACCACCGCAACAACCCGGUUUCUUUAUCCGCUGCCGUCGCGGAAACCGACGGCCCGGAAGACGCCAAGAAGAGAGGGGCCCACCUCGACGUCGAGUGAGAGAAAGUGUCGAGGCCUGUCGGCCCAGCUGGCAGCCACGUGGGCGGCGGCCGAUGGUUGUACCAUCAGAAUCCGACGCGUGACAGACAUGUCGCAUCAGCCGGACGCGUGUCUCCUUGUCUUUUUUUCUAACCAAGACGUCGGCGACAAUAUACGUGGCAUCCGUCGAAACAUGAACCGUCCAAGCCAUGGACCAAUCACUAGACUGUUCCAAAUUUCCUAUUUAAUCCAAUUAAUUUAAAAAUUACUAUUACCAUUAUUAUUAUUACAACUACUACUUAAUGUUAACUAGUUAGCUUGUGGGUCAAACACGCCUCAUCUGCCAUGUCAUUGCCGGAAUUUCUCUCCUCCUAAUUGUGUUGCGUAAGUUCACGGUUGGCUCCGGUAGGAGUUGGGGCAGGUUGAAGAGUGGAGUUCAAGUUGAACAGUUGAUAGUGGCAUUUUUCCAGAGAUGAGCUAAAGUUCAAGGAUCAUAAUUUAUGAAUUUUUUUAUUAUUCAGCAUAUUUUAAGAAUUACUAUGUUAAAUAUUUGUGGUUGGAUAACCUUUUUUAUAGACUCAUCACUAGUUCUUCAAUAGCCCAUUCAACGUCUUUCAAAACAUGUGUGAAUCAAGAUGGAAGACUAUGUUAAUUAGCUUUUAGAUAUAUGUACAUCACAUGUCCUAUCAAUUCACAACAUAUGCUGAUACUAAAACACAUCAAUAGUAUGUAUUAAAGUCGUGAACUCCACAAUCAUACUUUAAGAAUAAUAUCCAUACCAUAAACGAGCGCAAUGAUAACUAGUCCACAAAUAUCAACAAGAAUGUAAGUGUACGUCAAGAUUUGAGAUUAUGCCCUUGCAUUCGCCAAUUCUAUGUAUACUUGAAAGUGUCCUAUUUGCAUAUUACCAUGGGUCAAGUUUCUGCUAUUUGUACCAACAGCUAUGCUAGAAAAAAUAAUUUUAUAUGGUGCUAACGAUUUAAUAACUAUUUUUGUAACUCCAGAAUGUUAUGAACCCGUGACCUCAAGGUUAUGCGCCUUGUGAGCAACCAAACUGCUCUACUCUUCAAUGAAGAACUGGGAUUUCGUGAUCCACUGCUGAGCUCGGACUCAAAUCAUGGGGAUCGUCAGAAUACUCCGUAUCAACAGAUAAGAUACUCGAUAUAUCAUUAUUGAUUAGAUUUGAAAUAUAUUAUUAAAUUGUUCAUUCAAUGAGCAUUCUCAAUAUUAUGCCUUGAAGAGAACUCGACCCUCCACACUCUUAGGUUAAUUUCAUCAUUUUGAUAUGUAUAAUAUUGGAAAACUAUAGCAUGCGCUAUAGCUGUCUUUCUUUCACGCGCUUUGUUCUCUCAUCGCCGUUGAAUUUUUCCGAGUCAGAUGCAUGGCAUAAGCAAAAUCCUAAUAUAGAAUCAAUGAAAACUCGCAAUUGUUAUACAAAGCAAUGCAAGAUGGGACAAAGCACGGCCUCUCGGAAGCAUCCCUCACUAUAAAUCAAACAACAUGGUAUCAUAUAUCACGCGCAGUCCAGGAUCCAUCCCUCUCAAGAUUUCAGCUGACUGAGACUCGGUAACGAUAACAUUACCCGGCUCUUGUAUUCUGAGGAACGCUCUUCCUUGUCUCUGGUUCUCACUGAAAGACUUCUUGCCACAUCACGUCAACUCUGAAAAAAAAACACACACCCUGAUGAUAGCAUGAGAAAGGACCUUGCUUUCUCCCUCAUCUGUCCCCGCGAUAGGCGUCGAAACUUUUCAUUCAUCAAGGAAGUUCUCCCUCUCAAGUCACGCAAAUGGACGAAAAACCAUUCCAGCUGUGAUACCAGCUCAGCGGUCCAAACUUUUCAUUCAUGGAGGAAGUCCACGACCCACCCCCCAAGUCACGCAAACGGACGAAAAAACACUCCAGCUCAGUGACAGCAGCUCAGCGGCACCAUCGAAGAAAAAUCAGACGAAACAGGUACCAAAAAUUAAAAAAAAAUAAAAAAGACUUUUUAUUAUUAUAUUUUUUAGUAUUUAUUUUUUAAAAAGAUUAAAAAUUAUAAACUCCGACUAAUGAAAUCGUUAGUCCUAUGAUUGAAAAAACUAUGAAAAAAAUACAGUACUUACCAAUGUAGUCGAGUAAUACAUAUAAGUAAAUAAGUUAUUUAGUAAGCCAAUAUACACAUUUAGAUAAUUUGUUAUAUAAUUUCUAUAACAUGAUGUUCAUUAUGUAUAUAAUACACAAUCAGAUGAUACAUAUUUAGCAAAUUAGUUAUCCAACAGCCCAAUAUACAUCUCCAAGUGAGUUGAUACACGGUUUCUAAAAUAUUAUAUUAACCAAUACAUACUAUAUAGUCAAUGAUACAAACUCAUUGACUUCCUGAUAUUUAUUGCAAAUCUAUUUGAUACACACCUAAUAAUGAUCCAAUACACACUUCCAAAUAAAUCGAUACACAAGUUUCAAAAUAUCAUUUUUACCAAUACGCACUAUAUGGUCAGGUAAUACACACCAAGCAAAUUAAUCAUCUCGUAAGCCAAUACAUACUUCUAAGUAUAUUGUUGCAUAGUUUUCAGAAUAUAGUAUUCAUCAGUACCGAUAUGCAGCUUUCUAGCUUUGUCUAAUAUAAAAAACUAUAUAUAUAUUAUUUCUUAAAUUCUAUGAACUCUUAGGUGCAAAGAUUAUAAAAAAGAGAGAGGAAUUUAGAGGAGGAGAAAUAGACUUGGGAUGAGAAGGAAGACCUCAUGGAUGGGAAAGAAGGCUUAAUAAGGAAGAGGAUAAGUGGAGAGGCUGAAUAAGAAAGAAAAAGAAUGUGGACGGUUUCUCUUCGUGGCCCAUAUCUCUUGGUGUGUGUAAUUUCUUUUUUUUUCUAAGUUACAAGAUUGAUGAACUUCAUUAGUAGUAGAAGUCCUAUCCCUAUUUGACUUUUGGGUUUUCUCUUUAAAAUAAGCACUACAAAAAUAUGGCAAAAUAAGAGUCUCACUCUAUAUGAUAUUCUAUAGUGUCCGCCUCAUAUAAUUCUUGUUCCAUCUAAUAGACAUUUUAAUCACCUUAGCGUAAAAAAGCAACAAAAAAAGGAAUAGAGAAAAGAGAAAGAAAAAGAAGGAGAAGCGGACCAUCUCUACCUCCUCUCCUCAUGAUGCCGCCCUCUGCCUUGAUACAAACUGCCUUAUCCCUUCAAACAGAUUCAGCCAAACGCUCCAUCUCCUCUCAGAGGAGACCGAAAGGUUGCAUGCGAAACACUAAUAGAAGUCGACAACAAGGGAAAGCAACCAUUGGAUGCUUCUCCAAUGAUGGUGGGGGACCCAAAUAUUCUAGCUGUAAUAGCCAAGGACCUCGCCUAAAAAGACUAGCCAGAAUAUAUUAUUUGAGUUCCUUAGUCUCGUAUAAAUAUCCAAAAUGUACUCAAUGCAUAACCAAUAUAAAACUAAACACAUACCUACAUAGAUUCUCAUAUACUCUCCCCCAUUUAAGCCCAGCAUCCUUGCAAGGCUAAGAGUCUAAAUUCAUUCAAAUCCAAUCACAAAUACCACGAUCAGCUAGUGGUCAGUUUUAAUGGACCCAUACUGCAGAGUCCUCUAGUCCACAUAGGCUAUGGUUUGGGACGAUUCUGAUAUCAUUUCUAACAACUCAGAACCUCACCCAAAAAGGUUAGUCAGAAUAUGUUAUUUGCAUUCUUUGAUGUUGUAUAAGAACUAAAGAUCUACCUAGUGCAUAUGUGAUGCAGGACUAAACGCACACCCACAUGAAUCCUCAAAUACUGCCUCCAUUUGAGCUUUGGCAUACUCACCAUGCUAACGGUCCAAAUCCAUUCAAAUCCAUUCAUAAAUACCACGAUCAAUCCGUAGUCAGUUCUAAUGGACUCAUGCUUUGAUAAUAUUUCUAACAACUUAGGACCUUACCCAAAAAGGCCAGUCAAAAUGUGUUAUUUGUAUUUCUUUUUUUUUUAUAUAAGUAUCCAAAAUCUACUUAUUGUAUAGCCAAUUUAGGAUUAAACACAUGCCUGCUUCUCACACCGGCGGAGUAGUUCAAGGUCCUAAUCGGGGAUGAGAUCUACCGGACGAACCUAAACACUGUCUAUGAUCAAAAGGAGGAGCACGACCUUCACCGUCCAUCAAUGAAACCGUUAGUGAAGGAGCACGACAUUCGUACCCUCUUUGUCUGCUACCAUUUCCAAAAUCUCCGUGGCCCAGAUCUGCCUCACCGUCGGGUAAGCUGCCACAAAGCGCAACGCCCUUCGUUCCUUUGCUGAUGUCCCCAUCCGUUUCGUCCAAGCCCUAGCCCGAUUGGGCAUCUCUAUCACCGUCGCUCCUGACCGGACCGAUGCUAAUCUUCUCGACUCAUCUGAGCGAUAGAAGAUCUCAGCCUCCCAUGAGGUUUUGCCAACGCGUCUAAUCCGACGAGACCGCUUCUAAGAUCAAGCAUUUUAAGAGAGCUAAUGACAUACGUCCAAUUGGUGGAGGAUGGAGGCAAUUCCUUUCCCGAGGCCGAUUUGAUGCGAACCCGUGAGAUCUAUGAUUUUGUCUAGCUUCACAUAAAUCAGGUAGCAUUUUACUGAUGCAGUGUACCAUACCACCAGGCUAAGCUAGCCCAUCAAGUGCAGGAUAUAAUUUCUCAGGUAAUAGGCCUUAAAUAUUCUAGAGCAGAGGGUGGCACCUACCCAUGCCACUGGUGCCCCUUGAAUCCAGCCAAUUACUGUGGCCGAGUCACCCUCGAGUAGGACUGUUAUGGCUCACAGAACAUGCCGUGCAUAAUAUCACCAGCCCAUGCCGCCCUCAGUUCCGCCCCCGAAAUAGAGGUUUCAAAGAUCUGGCACUCGCUAGCAGCAACCACCUUAAAGUCCGAGCCUAUAAUGAUGAAGUCUGCACCACCUCUUCUGUCAGCAUCAAGUAUGUAUCUAUCAAAGUUGAUCUUAAGAAAAACAUCAUCCAAGAUAUUACAAAAGCAGAAGUAAAGCCCCAUGUGCCCUAAAUCUAUGAUUUUGUCUAGCUUCACGUAAAUGGGGCAGCAUUUAUGAUUUUGUCUAGCUUCACAUAAAUGGGGCAGCAUUUUAGUGAUACGUGUACCAUUUCCAUCAGGUGGAGGAUAUAAUUUAUCGGCUGAUAGGCCUUGAAGCUUUUCAUUCAUCAAGGUAGUCCUUCCGAUUCACGUAAAUGGACAAACAAAACACUCCAGAUUUUUUUAGGCAAUCAUGGGACCACCUAUCUUUAACUAAGACAUUGACCAAGGUACCUUUCAAUUCCCACUAGUUUUACACAACUUCAAAGCUUUCUUCAAUAAGAACAAACUGAAUACAAAGACGAAAAGUUUCACAAACCAUCUAGAUUUUAAUUGCCACUAAAAUGGCUUUGUUGCUAAUUAUUCACCACCAAAAUUAACCUCACCAAAGACGCAGAAAACACAGUAAAGUAGGCACACAUCGAACAUCGUAUGAGUCAAGGCCAGAACCAAUAGGGCUGGUCCUCGACAGGGAACCUGUAAUUAUUCAAAUUGUCUUCAAGCCUCAGGAAGCCAGAACCUUUGACCUCAUCAACCUCUCCGGCAUGCGAGAGAUCAGAUCGAUCAGGUUCGAAAGCAUGGAAAGAAUCCACAGGCUCCAUCAGCGUAGAGCGAUCUACUUCGUCAAUGUAGGGAGGGCUCCCGGAGUCUAACACAGUGCUGUUGGCGGAGCUGAGGUCCUCUUGCUUGCAUACUGUGACUCGGGCAUCUACUCUUUUCACCUCGCGCAUGGCAUCCGGGACUAUGUUCUGCAAUUCGUGAGGAGGCAAUUUGUUGCAUUCAAAUGGUGCCGAGCUGCCGAUAUCCUUCUCUUUGAGGAAGACCUUGUUUGUGAGAGAGAGAACCUGUCAAGAAGAAGCUCCAGUUGAUGAGGGUAAUGGUUCCAUAAUUUAGAAUACUAAGCUAACAAAAUAUCAGUCCACUGAACAGAUGAAUAGAGACAGGAUAUAUACUGUGUCAAACUUUCCUUUCCUUUCCUUUCAGCAUUAUACAUGACAUGUCUCAACAAUCUACCGCUUUCCUUAGUAGCACUUAGCAAAAUGACACAGAAAAAAAUAAAAACACUAGUGAUUUAGCUAGAAGCGUUAGGAUUCACACCUUUCUAGACCUUAACAUUAUCUAGGCAUCACAAGUAAUUCAUAGAAUUAGAUUAGUUUGUUGAAACUUGAAACAUCCAAGAUAUGCAGUAUGCCAUCCUAGACAGUUGCAAAAUGUCAACCAACCUCUCCAUAUAUAAAGAGAAGAAUUUUACACUGCUAGACUAUGUUUAGGUGUCAUUUAAUAAACCACUGUCUUCAACAACAGCUGAUAACUUUAUGAAACAAACGCAAUAGAUUCGAAGUUAGAGGAACUAAUUAAGAAAUAGAUACGGUUGGCAGACCAGAAGCAGUGGUUUUGAAGCAUAUCAAAGAACUAAAUGCUUUGUGAAAGUUCUGAAUGGAUUACCUCGGCUUGAAGUUUCUCCUUCUCAUCGAGCAGGUUAUCGUAAUCAGCCUUGAGGACAUCAUAACUAGAUUUCAGGGCCUCGUAGUCCUUCUCCAGUUGCUUUGUCUUCCACCGAGCACGGCGAUUUUGAAACCAUAUUGCGACCUGUCUGGGCUGUAGCCCGAGAUCCCUUGCAAGCUGAGCUUUCCUCUCUGGCUCAAGCUUGUUUUCAAGCUCAAAACUACUCUCGAGGAACUGGACUUGGUCAGCUGUAAGCCUUCUCUUCUUUUCUGGGCGGUGAACACCCUCGUCCAAGUCCUCGUCGCCAGUUUCUUCCAACUCGAAUGGUCUGCAGAAGGACCAUUCAGGCCUCUGCCCAUGGACAUCUUCAAAAUUCAUCACAGACCUUGAGCCUGAGAGAGAAAUGUUUUAGACUUUUUUAUAUAUUAAAGUAUUAUUAUCAACAAAAAUUGACGGCAACUAUCCAGCUAUAUAUAUAUAUAUAGUUGCUAUUAACAAAAAAUAAUAAUAAUAGAACUAUAGAUAUAUACAANNNNNNNNNNNNNNNNNNNNUUCAAGCUCAAAACUACUCUCGAGGAACUGGACUUGGUCAGCUGUAAGCCUUCUCUUCUUUUCUGGGCGGUAAACACCCUCGUCCAAGUCCUCGUCGCCAGUUUCUUCCAACUCGAAUGGUCUGCAGAAGGACCAUUCAGGCCUCUGCCCAUGGACAUCUUCAAAAUUCAUCACAGACCUUGAGCCUGAGAGAGAAAUCUUUUAGACUUUAUUCUAUAUUAAAGUAUUACCAUCAACAAAAUUGACGGCAACUAUCCAGCCAUAUAUAUAUAUAGUUGCAUUCAAAAAAUAAUAAUAAUGAACUAUAGAUAUAUCAAUGGAGAAAGAUAUUUCAUUGUAUAUCAGAUUUCUGAGGCAAAAAAAAAGGUCUAUAAUGAUGCAACACAUCAUAACUUUUUGAUGCUAAAUGAAUUUAUGAAAGCAAAUAGAUUGUGUUACUUGCAUCAAGGAAUUUAUAAGAGCUGCAUAGGCGCAACUUCUUUCACCAUAGAAAAAUAUCAGGAAAACCAAUACAAGAGAACUUUUAAAUGACUUUUUUUCCCUUCCUUCUCCCAGAAAAAUGUUAAAUCUAGGGCAAUAAUAUGAUCACAAAGUCUUUCACCAGCAUGUACUGAGGUUUCUUGAAAAGGUAGGUAGUUGAAAACAGGGCAAAGGCAGAGGUAAAGCAACUCAAAUUUUUAAAGGGGAAAAAAACUCAGAAAGAAAAGUUAAAGGAGAAUAUUAGGUGUUCAUAAUCAUAGCAGGAUAAAUGGUAAUAGAUCACUGUUCAGACUUUGAAAUCAUAACAAAACGAGGGAGAAAAAAAUGAUAAAAUGAAUUCUUUUUGAAUGAAAGGGAGGCAGAGGAAAAUAGCCACCCGAAACAGAGACUAAUCCCUGAAAAAGUUGUGCUUAUACGUGAGAGAUCCAAUCUGCCGCAAUGCUUCAAUGACCAACUGAAUUUAGAUCAACAUGACAAACCUUCAAUUAUAUUAAGAAUUCCAGCUGAGUUGCAGUGGCCGAUUGAAGAUUAGUAAUUAUUGAAACAAGCUAACUCUAAAAACUGGGAGUCCCGAAAGACCAAAUUAUGUGAGAAAUUCCGGGUGACCAUGUCAGAAAUAUUGCUAGAAGCAAGACCAAAUUAACCGAGUGAUUGGAAACAUUAACAGGGAUAAAAAAAUAAAGCAUACAAAUCAUCAAAUAUGGCAACUUGAACUGUAGUAUAGAGGAAAUAUGAAAGCCCUUGACAUGUUAAGAGGAAAUCAAACCCUGAGCAGCAUUGGAAGAGGCAUAGUCUGUUUGCUCUAGUGGACCAACAGUUUUUGCAUGACUACAAACUUGGAUCCAGAAAUCAAAGAAAGCCAAAGAAACCUUCUAAAAUUAAAAACAGAGAGAAUAACAGGGACGGAGAGAGAGAAAGAGAGAUGUUACCGGGAAAUCCUCCAUGAGAAGUCCCCGAAGAGAGCAGGGGCUCAAUAGCCUCGGAGGAAAUCCAAUUAUUCCGGAGCAAAACCGCCAUACUCGAACCCUCAUAAGACCUUCUUCCCGCCAUCUNNNNNNNNNNNNNNNNNNNNNNNNNNNNNNNNNNNNNNNNNNNNNNNNNNNNNNNNNNNNNNNNNNNNNNNNNNNNNNNNNNNNNNNNNNNNNNNNNNNNNNNNNNNNNNNNNNNNNNNNNNNNNNNNNNNNNNNNNNNNNNNNNNNNNNNNNNNNNNNNNNNNNNNNNNNNNNNNNNNNNNNNNNNNNNNNNNNNNNNNNNNNNNNNNNNNNNNNNNNNNNNNNNNNNNNNNNNNNNNNNNNNNNNNNNNNNNNNNNNNNNNNNNNNNNNNNNNNNNNNNNNNNNNNNNNNNNNNNNNNNNNNNNNNNNNNNNNNNNNNNNNNNNNNNNNNNNNNNNNNNNNNNNNNNNNNNNNNNNNNNNNNNNNNNNNNNNNNNNNNNNNNNNNNNNNNNNNNNNNNNNNNNNNNNNNNNNNNNNNNNNNNNNNNNNNNNNNNNNNNNNNNNNNNNNNNNNNNNNNNNNNNNNNNNNNNNNNNNNNNNNNNNNNNNNNNNNNNNNNNNNNNNNNNNNNNNNNNNNNNNNNNNNNNNNNNNNNNNNNNNNNNNNNNNNNNNNNNNNNNNNNNNNNNNNNNNNNNNNNNNNNNNNNNNNNNNNNNNNNNNNNNNNNNNNNNNNNNNNNNNNNNNNNNNNNNNNNNNNNNNNNNNNNNNNNNNNNNNNNNNNNNNNNNNNNNNNNNNNNNNNNNNNNNNNNNNNNNNNNNNNNNNNNNNNNNNNNNNNNNNNNNNNNNNNNNNNNNCACCAGCUGAUAUUCUCCGAUCAAAAUAUCAAAAUCUCAGACGGAUAUGAUAAAUAUUAGAUUAAAACUGUAUUUAAAUAUUAAUUAAAAAAUAAAUUGGAGAAAGUAAUAAAUAAUUGAAAAUUUUUGGUCAUUAUAAAUAUAUUAUAUCAAUCAUGGAUUUAUAUUGAUCGAAUUAAUAGAGCUAGAAUUUUUGUAUAUAGUAUACCAGGGUAUCCAAAUAGGGUACAAACUAUAGCUCGGAGAUCUAAAUCUUGCCAAAAAUAUAUCAUAAAUUUGCUUAAUGAUAGCCUCAAUCAAAUAUGAUACGAGAUAAUUGAUGUAAAACUGUUAAACUAAUAUUAGCAGGUUGGAGAAAUUUAUGUCUUUCUAUAAUGGAAGCAUUAUUUCUUUGCCAAGUGUUUGCAUGGUAUAUUUUUAGAAAUUUCUACAUUGUAAUUCCUUCACUGUUUUUUUUAGAUUUUUUUGAUGGCACUUGGUUUAUUUUUAGAUUUCACUUGAACAUGAAGAAAUGUGGUGGUCUAAAUAGAUAGCACCAUAGAAAGAAAUAAAAAUGACAAUAUAAAACAUUAAUAACCCUUGGAGCAAUUAUCCAAGAAAUGAAACGAAAAUGCCAAAAACGUGCUUGCAAUAACGAAGAUAACGAUUGAAGCACGGUUUUAAUAAAUUUGAGCAAUGGUUAGAAGUGGCUUUCUCCUAAUGAAGGCAUCCAUUGGAGGGUAGAGGAAUCCAUUCUAGUCUAACAAGGUGCAACAAAUUAUAGGUUUGUUUUAAGAAUUGUGCAAAUCAUUUCAGUACCCUAAUAAUUAGGAUUGUAUUCGAUAUUGUUGUCAGGUAAUCUAUACAUUCAGAUAUAUACCAACCAACAAACUCCAAACUUCAUUGGAAGAAUUUAAGCAUUUACUAAUUAAUGCUAAUGAUUUGUGCGUGAAUCACAAGAAAAAAAUCUUUUUUUUUCUUGGUUAUAUUGUUGUCUAAAAUUAGAAGCAGAAUUCCGCCUCUUAAAUACUUAUGCUCAAAAAAGUACACGCACUACGGCAACACGUCAACUUUCUCCUACUAGUUGCUUGCUGGUCUCGAUUCGAAGACCAUUUCAUAGAAGUUUAUUAAUAUCUCCUUUUGAUCAAGCAAAUCGACUUGAGUAGCUUUUUUUUUUUUUAUCCUUGCGGGAAGAAGUAAGAGUAAGGAUUACUAUUUUUGUUGAGCAAGGCAACAAUGUGCAACUUGUUUUAGGCUACUCGGAUUGAACUUUCAUUGGGUACAUAGAAAUAUAAUGGUUAAAAUAAAAGUAUAAAUAACGCAUAUGUCGAUCUGGAUUAUAAUAUGCUAGUAAUAAGUGUUCACUAGUAAGGGAUAGCAUGGCCAAUUCCAGGAAAAGUUUUCAAAAAUCAUUCGCUGGAAAAGAGAAACAAGAUGCAAAGAAGGCCAACUUUCCAUAGGCCGCAGGAUAAGUUGGGGAGAAAAGGUGGGAGCGUACAAUUUAAUCAUGGCAAAGGAAGGACAAGACUGAGAUGAAAAAGGGGGCAUAUUAAAGGCCAAAGGUUGACAACAAAUAAAACCAAUCUAGGCCACAUGGAGCUUGUUUUCUAUUAGCAAAAUUAUCCACCGUUGUUGGUGGUUUCCAAUCAUGUUCGAUGACUGAAAACUUUUUUCCACUUUGUGCGACAAAAGCUUGCUGUUGUAGCUGCCAAACCGGACAUUGGAAAGGCCUGUGAUGAGAGGAAUCCAAACCAUUUCCGAGGUGAACUUUGGCCAUGAAUGAAUUGCCUGCACUGUAUUCCUAAGCCUUUUUAGAGUACGCUCGAUUUCAAGGAAUUCACUAGUGAUUAUUGAAUUUUAAUUAGAGCCAGGCUUGAACCGUGAAUCCUAAAUUGUUGUCGGCUCCAAUUUAGAAAUAAAGUUUCCUAACAUCGAUUUCAAAGGUUUUUUUUCGUUCGUGAUCAAAAAUGGAAUCGGAGUGGAUUAGAAUAGAAAUGAGAAUCAAAAUGGUCAUAUCUCCAACGUAUUUAGUUCAAGAAUAAAAUCAAAGUCGGAACUAGAAUGAGAUUUGAAUAUCAUAGAAGAGUCCACGUGAGACUUUAGAAGAUUGGGGCAUUUCUCAUUGGCCACUAAAAUCGAAAUAGGAAUGAAACUUUUUUCAACUAAAUGAAUAGGAGAGGAGUUAUUCAUUCUCAUCUCAAAGCUCAACUCUCUACAACCAAACAUGCCCUAAAUAUUCUAAUGGACAGGAAAGCUUCUAUAUGCAAUUAAGUAUUAGACUUGUGUGGAACCAUUAAUGACAGCAUGAACUAAAACAUCUGCUGCCUAGGUUCAUUAAGAGAAAAUUUCUGCUUUCUAUAGCCCAGAUGGCACAUUUUUCCUGCAGCAUGAAUGGGAAAUUUCUUCUUUAACUAGAUCCAUCACUAAUUUGGUGAGAGUUUAAACAAGCAAAUCAUCUGAAUCCCCUUAUCUUAAGAAGAUAACUAUCCGAACGCAACUAUCUAUCAAGUCGAAUAAUCAUUUCUUCAACAUACCAAGGAGUGGUCAAGUGGGAUUAUGAGAAUUCAAAGACGUAUCACUUUAAAGAUGCCUAGUGUACGUUUGCGAUGCGUGGAAGGUAAUGCAUUUUGUGUACAUUACUUUACGACUCAACGGGAAAAUUUGGUCUGGGAACUAAAGCGAGUUUUGUUUAGUAGGGAUUCUAAAUGAAACGGUUACCAAAAUUCAAAAUUCAAAGGUCAGAAGAGUGCUACAAAAAGAGUUUGCAAGAACCUCCUUUUAGAAGGCGACCUAGACCACAAAAACUGUACGUGCCGGCUUGAAAUUCUUGCCAACAUUGUUAGACUACCGUUGAAUUCAUCCAUCGAGAAAUACUUUAGUUAUAACAUAAAAUUCUUGCUUUUUUUGAAUAAAAAAUAAAUUUUGUAAAACAGCUCAAAAGGUGGCUAAGUUGCAUGAUUGCCGGUUGAAAAAAGAUUAACGAGUAAAUCACACAAUACUAAGUACUCAUGUGAUUAUUUUAUGCACGUACAGGAUAUCAAAUAAUCCUCCAAGAUGCUUAGGCUAUCAACACUUUAAUUUUUUUUGAGGUAAAAGGAGGCAAAAUGAGCCACCUGACUUUUAUUAAAAAUUAAUCAUAGAGAUGAAGGGCGGAGAUGAAUUUAUCAAGAAAAGGAAGGAAUGAAAAAAUUGAAGCUAAAUGGCUCCAAACAAUCAGAACAAAAAAUGUUGAUGCUCGUAAGAAGAAGCUGGCAAAAAAAAAAUUAUAUUCAGACUAACAAGUAAGAACAUUUAUUGUCUGAAAAAAAAUAUUUAAUUCAAUUAUAUUUAACCGUUCACAUUAAGAUGCCACUUAUCCAGAUUUUAUUGUUACAAUUUCUUCCAAGUACCGCCAACUUUAGUUGCUCGGUGCUACCGUAUCACACCACAGCCUAAUCUCUUGAGCUCCAAUCGUAGCCCGGGACCGUUAAGUGUGACCCUCCGGCUGCGAAAUGGCUCGAGCCACGACAGCCGUUCUGUCAACUUGCGAGCGUACCUGGCGACAUGCCAGAUUCGAAAACGAUGCCACAUGGCACAAAUUUGUUUUGCGCUUGCACGGUCGUGUCGUAUAAGACGUCGGCAUCUUGGACACGUGGCAGAUCUUAAUAGACUAAAUGGAGGUGGACGUGGGAGAUGAAGGCAAUAAUAUCGUUUUAUUUAUUUAUUUAUUUUUUUGGUUCUCACGAGCUCUUUUUAAUCCCAUUAGCGGGCAGAUCUUUGCCUUGAGGUAUGUAUCCAGUGCCACGUCUACCGAGGACUUACGUCCUCGCUUUUCCACACGUGCCUUCCCGUGCGUCACGAGUGGCUGCUUCCUCCAAAGCCAAGCCUUGUGUCCAUGGUCCAUGGCGUAAAAAUCCCACCAGCUCGCUUCCAUUCGCAUCUUGGAAUUCAAGAGACUCUUCUAUGGUUUUGUUGAUCCAACCCAGUGGGAUCGGACGGUGGAGCUGGUGAAUGAUGGGCGGGCCAAUUAUGCUCAGAUUGUGUCCGUUGGGAUAGAUUAUCCUGCUCAAAGUUGAAUGUCCGACCUGCAAAUAAGAAAAAUAAAUAUCUAAAAUGUCUAAGUUAGACCAAGUUUUUAAGAAAUAGUGAAGAUUCGCGAAAGCUAUAGAUGAAGUAAGCAAGAGUAGCAUAGCAUAAGUGUAGCUGAAGGUUCAUCGAGUCUAAUAUAUAUAGAGAUGAGGGCGUAGGAUAGUUAUUUAGUAAAGUCGAGACAACUUGUAACCAUCUCGCAACAUAUCUCAACAAUGCACGGGGCUAUAACUAUCCCUUUAAUAGAUUUAACGGUCUUAAAUGCAUUUUGAAUCGGAGACAUAGUUUGUUGCUGCUAGUCGGUCUAUCUGGUCAGAUGAUCUAGUUGGCAGUUCGGUUGCCAGUUACAAACCGAUAAAUCCAAGCCACAUCAAGUUUCAUAAGCUAAAUUUUAAAUAUAUGUGGUAGGUUUGGCCGGGCGUAAAAAGAGCUCCUAACUUGGGCAAUGCACAUUUCCACACAAUAUUUCCAUUUUGAGGAUGAACAACUAAGAAUAUAUACAUCACUGAUCAAAGUGACGUGGAAACCUAUUUUGAUCGAGCAGGGGCAUUACUCGAUGGAUCUCUUUUCUUGGGGAGUCUAAUAUGAAGGGAAAUACAAAAAGUGCAUUUCAUUUAAGAAUUAAUGUGCACCUAUUAAUCAUCUCUGCCAUUGUAAAUAAAAAAAAUUCUUCCACAUAUAACAUUCACAUCAACUGCAUGAAGUUUCUUUUUGUGUUACAUACAAAUGGAUGCAGUUUUCGGCUUUUUUCUAUAAAAAAAAAAUAUUUAUGCCGAAUAAUGUAUUCGUGAUGCCUGAUUAGCACAAUGAUUACUAGUCUAUGAGGAGGAAAGUACCAAUGAGAAUUUAAAACCAACUCCAAAAUUCAUUAGGUCUAGCGUAACACAUCAAGACACACUUGUAAUACCUCUAUAGAUUUGGUAAAGGUGAAAGUCCCCUUAACGUUAGGGGCUAACCACUGAGCUCACUUUGGCCUUGUGGGUGCAAGCUGGAGCAGCCAUAGCUUAUGGUUAGAACAAUAGGAGGGGGGCCCAACAGAGAUUCGCUCGCCGAGCGAAUGGCAGGAGCAGCAGGCAAGUGCUUGGUAGGCCAACAACUCAAUGAGUCGCACUCGAUGAAAGAGAGCCACACCGAGCAAAUAUGAUAAAUUAGCCUACUCUGCUUUUUUAAAUAAAAGUAAGGACUGCUGGGGGAAGCCACAAGAACUUUACAUGCAUCAUGAGGGUACAGUGUCUCAUGUUUGGCUUCCGCUAAUGCUAUAUUAUUGGAUCUACUCUUGUCCCAAUAAUUAAAAGAGACCAGGAUAAGGAUAUUUUGGUCAAUGCAGCCAGUAUAAAUGAUGAAUUCAUAAUUCUUAAUUUCGGGUAAUGGAAUACAUAUAUAGACACACACACACACACACAAGAACAAGGGUAUCUUCGUCCAUCGGGACGCGGUGGAUGUGUGAGGCUCCAAGUGAGGUUGAAGGGACGCAGCGUCGACAUCGGGGGAUGGAGGUCGGAAUCCAGAGUGAGGAAAGGGACGCGCCGUGUGCUGACUCAUCCUCCCUCCCUUGUUCUUUUAUGCAACCGGAGCGACCGAGUCUGCGUCGCUUCAUGGGCCCCCUAAGCCCAUUAAUGGUCCCCCACGGCUGAGCCCACUCGGACCGGCAUCGAACGGACCACCUUUGGAUUCCUAAACUCGUGGAUCGAAGACGAGGCUUUGUGGGCUUCUUGGUGGUGGAUUUUAGAACAGUCCAUGUCCAUCGCUUGGUUGGAAUGCACGGACUCGUUUCCUUUGCCGUAUCAAAGAAUGUGGCCAUUCUCAUCAAAGAUUCGGAAUUCGUAGCUGCUGGUAUGAAAGCUUGACGGACUUGUCCAAACUUACCUCCACUCUUUAUUGGUGUGGGGGGUGUUGCUGCCAAAAUCCGAGCCGAGAUUGGUCCCCGCCCAAGAUGAAAAGUGGAGCAUGAUACUAAGGUGAAAAGUGGAUCGGCCUAGAGUUGGAAAAUAUUGACUUUGCUGGUGGUACUCAUGUUAGACUUGCGUGAGCUACUGUUGUACAAAAAAAAAAAGUCGGAAAAUAACUUCGAGACGAAGGAGAACUAAUAUCGCUGUUCGGAAGACGAAAAUGAUCUAGUAAAGAAAGUNNNNNNNNNNNNNNNNNNNNNNNNNNNNNNNNNNNNNNNNNNNNNNNNNNNNNNNNNNNNNNNNNNNNNNNNNNNNNNNNNNNNNNNNNNNNNNNNNNNNNNNNNNNNNNNNNNNNNNNNNNNNNNNNNNNNNNNNNNNNNNNNNNNNNNNNNNNNNNNNNNNNNNNNNNNNNNNNNNNNNNNNNNNNNNNNNNNNNNNNNNNNNNNNNNNNNNNNNNNNNNNNNNNNNNNNNNNNNNNNNNNNNNNNNNNNNNNNNNNNNNNNNNNNNNNNNNNNNNNNNNNNNNNNNNNNNNNNNNNNNNNNNNNNNNNNNNNNNNNNNNNNNNNNNNNNNNNNNNNNNNNNNNNNNNNNNNNNNNNNNNNCCGAACCGACCAGCAUAACAUAUCGGUCAAUACCGAAGUUAUCUACCUCGAUCAAGGCCGAGAUCAUGGAGAUCGGACAAUCCGAAAUCAAGAUGAUUAAUAUUCUCUCCAACAUGGAAGAAAUGAGACCCUCAAGAGAAAUAGGGGUUGGGUACUUAGAAAUGGUCUAUUGGUCUCCAUGGAUAUGUUUUCCUUAAAAUAAAAUAUAUAUUCUAAUUGGUUUAGCUUUUGCGACAAGAGAAGAUGCGACAAGAGAAAUGUACUCGCUAAAGAAAAAAAGGUUGAGUCAUGGAAUCAUAGGCUCACAGCCAUCUACUCGUACUGCCAAUCUGCAAACUAUCAGCUUUUAUACCUGCGUUAAUUAACUUUAUCACAGCUUUUCUAAGUGCCAGUCUGCCCGUGUUCACGGUAUCAAGGAGAGCGAAUCGGGCUGAACGUGAGAAAAAGCUUGGCAUGAUUUGUGGCCGAAUUUUCGAAGAGAAAGAUGUGGAGGCGGCCCAGGCCCAUAAGGCCCAUAAGGCAUGAUUUUUGGCCGAAUUUUCUUUUCUCCAAAAACAAAAAGGGACUAAGAAGGGUUCAAGCACCAUUUGGCUCAUGAGUCCUGAAGGAAAUGAUAGUAGCUCGUUGUUUUAUAGGCUUUCUCAUAUUCAGUCGGAAGAGUUUAGGUAAAAUUGUAUUACUUUAUUAUUACUUAAUUAUUUAUUAUUACUAUUACUCUAUUAAUAGUUAUUUAACUUAUUCCUACAUUACUCCAUCUAGGUUAAAGCUCAAGCUUGGAGUAGACCGAGUCAAGAUUGGGGCUUCUUCUUUUCGUGGCCAUUCUCAUCAAAGAUUCGGAAUUCGUAGCUGCUGGUAUGAAAGCUUGACGGACUUGUCCAAACUUACCUCCACUCUUUAUUGGUGUGGGGGGUGUUGCUGCCAAAAUCCGAGCCGAGAUUGGUCCCCGCCCAAGAUGAAAAGUGGAGCAUGAUACUAAGGUGAAAAGUGGGUCGGCCUAGAGUUGGAAAAUAUUGACUUUGCUGGUGGUACUCAUGUUAGACUUGCGUGAGCUACUGUUGUAAAAAAAAAAGUCGGAAAAUAACUUCGAGACAAAGGAGAACUAAUAUCGCUGUUUGGAAGACAAAAAUGAUCUGUAAAGAAAGUCUACUUGACGAAAGAUUUCUAGCGGAGGAUCUUCUGAUGUUUAAAUUAGUAGAGAUCUAAAACAACAGUUGGAGAAAGAGAGAGAAUGAGUGUAGAAAAAUGCUCGAAAGUGCUUACAUGGUGUUCCUUGGUAACCUCCAUAUAUAGCAUAAGGUGAGGAUUCGUUACCUUAAUUGUCGGGAGGUGCGAUAACUGCAUAGUGAUAGCUGGCCUCUUAUGUUUAAUACAUGGUAAUGCUCCUUGCGAUAUGUUUGCGGUAUAAAUUGCGCCGAUUGUGUAUUUAUGGCCGAGCUGGAUUGACUGUUGCCUAGACCAUAAUUGCAACUUCUUUGAUGAUUCUUGGUGUUACUCUACAGCCGAACCGACCAGCAUAACAUAUCGGUCAAUACCGAAGUUAUCUACCUCGAUCAAGGCCGAGAUCAUGGAGAUCGGACAAUCCGAAAUCAAGAUGAUUAAUAUUCUCUCCAACAUGGAAGAAAUGAGACCCUCAAGAGAAAUAGGGGUUGGGUACUUAGAAAUGGUCUAUUGGUCUCCAUGGAUAUGUUUUCCUUAAAAUAAAAUAUAUAUUCUAAUUGGUUUAGCUUUUGCGACAAGAGAAGAUGCGACAAGAGAAAUGUACUCGCUAAAGAAAAAAAGGUUGAGUCAUGGAAUCAUAGGCUCACAGCCAUCUACUCGUACUGCCAAUCUGCAAACUAUCAGCUUUUAUACCUGCGUUAAUUAACUUUAUCACAGCUUUUCUAAGUGCCAGUCUGCCCGUGUUCACGGUAUCAAGGAGAGCGAAUCGGGCUGAACGUGAGAAAAAGCUUGGCAUGAUUUGUGGCCGAAUUUUCGAAGAGAAAGAUGUGGAGGCGGCCCAGGCCCAUAAGGCCCAUAAGGCAUGAUUUUUGGCCGAAUUUUCUUUUCUCCAAAAACAAAAAGGGACUAAGAAGGGUUCAAGCACCAUUUGGCUCAUGAGUCCUGAAGGAAAUGAUAGUAGCUCGUUGUUUUAUAGGCUUUCUCAUAUUCAGUCGGAAGAGUUUAGGUAAAAUUGUAUUACUUUAUUAUUACUUAAUUAUUUAUUAUUACUAUUACUCUAUUAAUAGUUAUUUAACUUAUUCCUACAUUACUCCAUCUAGGUUAAAGCUCAAGCUUGGAGUAGACCGAGUCAAGAUUGGGGCUUCUUCUUUUCGAGAGCUGUACCGAGAGUCGAUGCCUUGCAAAAUCAAUCCUCGAUCUUUUUCCUAAAAUGGCAAGAGAUGGAACCAUUCGAGACAAAAUUCGGUAAUCUAUAAUAUUGAGUUUUGAUUUUAUGUUAAUUGUAUCUUUGAGAUGCACCUGAUUGCCUCUAUGGCACUAUGUACAAUAUAAGAUAUUUUUUUUGUGGUAAAUAUAUAAGACAUUUCUUUUAAUUGGCCUUUAGGUUUUGUUUGCAAUACCAUCAUUUUAAAUUUUGGUUGUACUUUAACCAAAAUCGAACCAAUUACAUUUAUGUCUUCCUUGAAAAAAAGAAUCAUUGUAUUUAUCCAUACAUUAGCAUAGAUGUUACUAGAAGAAUGCAAAUAUGCCACAAAAAGAAAUAAGAAAAUGUCACUAAGCUGGACACAUAUGAUGAUUUGUAGGGCACCGUAGGUGUAAGUGAAUAAUUUGUCGCAUUCUUGCGUAUUUAUCAGCGACUAAGGUAAUUUAGCAAGGAUUUUGUUCGUGAAAUAGUUAUGCAACUGACAUGCAACUUUAUAAUCAAUCUCCCCUCUUUUAAUUGAUUGUAUGUAAGGUUACAAGAUGUUAAUGCGAGUGGCAAUAUAUUGCAUAGAAAGGUUAAAAGAAAAUUAAUUCUUGACACUUGUUUUGCAGGCCAUUUUGGCAAUCAGCUAGGCUUGUUACAGAAUAUUUAAUCACCAUGCACUGCGCUUGUCAAUUUAAGUUUUGGCUUGCGGUCAUGCACACAGGAAGCAAAGGUGUCCUCACUGUGAAACAUCUCGUAAAUGAAGGGCUGGGAUUUUAUCUUUUCCUGAGUAGACUGCAUACCCUCCAACCAAGUCACCUUGAAUCUGAAAAUAUAAAUAAGUAAUCUUCCCUCUUUUAAUUGAUUCUAGAUAAGGCUACAAUCGUUAAUGUGAGUGGUAAGAUAUUACAUAGAAAAAAGUUAAUAAAAAUUAAUUCUCGACACUUGCUUUUCUAGUCAUAUUCACAAUCGGCUAGGGACGACAAUAGAUUGGAUAUGGAUCGGAUCGGACAAUAUCCGUACCCACCCCACAAUUAAAACCUUCAUAUCUAUACCUACCUCAGGCCGGGUAAAGUAGACAGUGUCGUUCGGUAGAUAAGAUGGAUCGGAUUGGGUCGCAUUAACUCAUCAUGCAAAUAUUCUAAAAUUAUUGUAACUUUGGAAGGAGGGAUUUAGAUUAAGGUUAUAUUGAGUCUAUUUCCGCACCUGAACUUGUUUCAAAUAUUUUUCGAGAACACAUACCUACCCCGGUAUUUAAAAAUAUCUAACGAGUUGGAUAAAACCGGUCCUAUUUGAAUUAGGUAAGAUUAGAUAUAGAUGCAUCGGCUACAAUUACCAUCUCUACAAUCAGCUAGGUUUGUUUUGUGAGUAAACAAUCAGCUAGGUUUGUUUUUUGGGUAAAUAAUCAGCUGGGCUUGUUAUAGAAAAGGUGUCCUAAUUGUCAAACAACUUACAAAUGAAGAGCUGGGAUUUUUUUUUUCCCCUGAGUAGUUGGCUGUAAUCGGAGCAUGUCAAUUAAUACCCCCUAAAGAAUGCACCCUGAAACAGAGCAUAUGAGUUUAUAUAUACGUGCGGUAACGCGCUUUUCCGGGUUCAAUUUGGUAGGUCGGGACAGGGAGGCAAAAGAGGAAGGGAUACGGGCCAUAAAUAAUGGGGAGAGAAAAGACAAAACAACGUGCUGCCGAGUGGGAUCAAAGACACGCAACCUGGGCGCGUCCCGUCCUCCAAUCUGCCGUCCGUACCAUCCACAUAGGACCAUCCAAGCCGUUCGUUUCUCGUCAUUACGGAACAAACUCGACGCGUGAGCUUCACGCGAUAAUCGGGCGGCAGCGAUGCACGAAUGGACAGAACCAACGGCAGAUCGUUUUCCGCAUAAUAUCUUUACGCGGACGCGUGGAAGAUUUCCGCCUCCACUCUCUGCCUCGUUCUUGGCUCAAUAUUCCCACUGCCCGCCCUGCCCGCUUUUGCCGCUUGUCACCUGCCCCUGCAUCUUUUUCCCUGCUGCCCGAACUGCCCGCACUUUACCACCCCCCAGCCCCCCAGACUUCCAUACUUCCCCUGUCUCGUCCCUCUUUGUUCUACUCCAAAAGCCAUCACCCUCGCUCCUCUCGUUCUCUUGCUCUCUCUCUAAACCCUCUCUCNNNNNNNNNNNNNNNNNNNNNNNNNNNNNNNNNNNNNCCAAUGCCGGCGACCUCCGGGAGCUGGGACGGCUUCCGGAGCCCUUCUCCGCUUCUCCCACCCCCCGCCGGCUUCCUUCGGGCGGCGCUCCGAGUGGUGCUCUGAUCGCCGGCGGCCGGAGCCUGUUCUUUUCGCCGGGAGCAGGUCGGCUUCUAGGUUCCGUGCGGUACCCGCGGGAGUGUUCGCUAGGGUUCCGGAGGCUCCGAGAGGAAAAUUCUGAGGUACGGGGUGGUUUCAAGAUCUCGGCAUCGGGUUAUCUUGUUGGGUUCUCUUAUUUUAUUUUAGGGUUACUAGUUCCAAUCAUUUGGUCGGAAUCCCGAGGGUUUGUUAUUUGGAGGGUUUUGCUGUUGAUCUCGGAAGAGAUGGGAUUGGGGCCCGAGGCGGCUGAAGUGGUGUCCCGGGAGAGUGAUGGGAAAUCGGAAGGAAGGAACGGCAAGAACGAGAAGAAGAAGUGGAGGACGCGAUGGACGUGGGUCAAGCUUCGUUUGAUUGCGUGCUUCAUCUCGAGAUCGAAAGUGGAUACGUCUGUUAGCGGCGCCAGCACUCUUUGCGGUAACUUCCUCAAAAAUGUAGACUGUUUGAUCAAUGCUUUUCUUGAAUUUACGGCUUAUUAGCAUUUUGAAUUUUCUAUUUCUAGGAAAUAUUGCUAUUCUUGGUUAUUAUUAUUCGAAUUGCUUUACGAUCUAUGGGAAAUUAUGCAGGGAGAACUGCUAAGUUUGUUUCCCUAUAGGCAUUUGUUUUAUUUCGGUAAAUAAGAUUGUUUAGGUAGAAGAUACUGUACGUUGCAAGUUCUAUAUUACUGUUCCUUUGGGAUAUUGUGGUAUCGCCUGGCCACAUUUUUUUAAUAUUUAUUUUUUAAAAAAUAUUUAAAUCCCAAUGUUCUGGGCAUUCUUUUGUUGAAUUAACACCAACAUAAAGUGAAAGAAGGAUAAAGUCAUGCUAGUCCGAUAGUUUUAGUUUGAAGAGGCAUUGAAUACCGGUGAAGUGCGGCGUGCACCCUGAUAGUUACAUCCCUCUACUUAGUAACCAGAUGUUCAAUGUUCGAGUACUGGAUGGUGCACUUCCAAGUGUUUGAACUUGGGUAAUUAUAGUGUGGGUAGGUCUCCUUCCCUUUCUCUCUCUCUCUCUUUCUCUAUAAUAAAAAGUACAAGUAUCGGAUAUUGGAGAUUCUUUUCUUGAUAGAAGAAGGAGCCAUAGGAAUGUUCGCAUUGGGAGAGAUGGCAAUUUUUGUUUUAGGAUUAAUUGGGGUUUUUAUCUUUGAUUUUUUCCCCUCUUUGUUGCUUUCCCCCCCCAAAAUGCAGUAUAGAAAAUGUGCAAGUUCUAAAAGGGUGAUAUAGAAUGAAUGAAUGGGAAUUAGGAUGGAGGGCAAUUGGAUGCCCCUUUAACAGGGGCUCAUGAAAAUGAAGAAAUUUGAGUCAUGAAUAUCAUGGAGAAAAAAUCAUAAUAACCUGCUUUAGCCUUCAUCAAUGAAGGAGAAGUUGGUGGUUUCUUCUUACCUUGAUAUCUACCUUUUCAUUUGCUUAUGCAGGGGAAUCGACUCUGAAAGCAUGAAAUAUGCCUCCCUCCUAGAUACCAGCGACUUAAAGAACAUGCCUCUCAGUUGGAAAGCAGACAUCAGAAGGAUUAAGUACCAUGUGCUGCACUGCUGCUAGUCAUAUACUGGCAUAGUUGAUAAGACACCAUAUUAUGCUGUGUUACGAUGUUCAUGUCAUGUGCAAUGACAAAAAAGUAGUGUUGUUUCAUAUCAUAUCAAUGUUGGUUUAUGUUAACAAGCAUGCGGCCAAGCAACUGAUGUAAACCAAUAAAUACUUAAAAAUACAUGUAAAGGUGGGUCAUGGCAUAACCCCUGUGUGCCUUGCCCAUACCUAGUCAACAUGGUAUAGCUCUUACAAGCUGUGUUACCAAGAUAUUUCUGUUCAGCUCCAAAAAUCUGUGUUGGAUAUAGAUCAAAGCCAGAUAAGUAUUAGACACUUGAAUACUUAUGAAAUUCUAUAAUCGCUAUGUUUAAAGAUAAGAAGAGCUGAAUGCCUCUAAAAAUAUUUUUGACUCCCUAUUUUCAUGUAGAAGUGAGUAUUUAUUCGUUUUAGCGAUUAGUCAAGGAUUUAGGUAUUGAACUAACUUUCCAAAUAUUAUUUUUUAAUAUAUUUUAAGUUAAUGGGAAAGUUUGAAUGAGAAAGACGUGUUCGAAGACCUUAACAAACAUUAUCUUCUUAAUAUUUAUUUUUAAUAUUAAACAAAUGAUAUUAAAGGUAAAAACUUGUAAAAUUUAGUUAAAAUUAUAAUUUAUCCUAUGUAUCCCCAUAUCUUCUUUUUUUUUGCCCCUUCUUAUCAAGCCAAACACCUAGCUUUCAUAUGUGAAUCUGAUUCUUAUAUCCAUAUCCAUGCAUCUUCUACUUACAUGCAUGGACAUAUACAGCACGAUACUUACAAGUCAAGAAAAUAAGUAUAACAAACUAGGGUUCAUAAUCCGAAUUUUUUGGACAAAAUUUGCCUAUAUGCAUGCUCAUGGAGUAUAUUUGGUAGGUAAGAUGUGAUUAUUUUAUCAUAGUGAGUGAAACAUCCAACCAAUGGACCAAUUAGUUGUUUUCCUUGCUGUGCACUUGGAUUGUCGACAAUAAUGUUGAUUAUGCCUUAUGGAAAACAAUACCAUAUAUGUUUAUUUACUUUUAGAUAAUUAUAUGAUCGUGAGUAUGUGUUUAGUUGAUAGAAAUUUCGUCAAAGAAUACAAUGAGUUUGAGAAAUGACAUCGCUAUUAUAACUAUUUGAGUUAAAUUUCUAUAGUUUUGGAAUCUCCUUUUUUUUUGAUAGAAACAGUUGGUAGACAACGAGCUGCACAACUUGGGGUAACCCUCCCAUAAACACCUGUAACCCCCCCCCCCCCCCACCACACACACACACCAACAUAAAAAGUAAACUGAAAAGAGCCGAGGGUUAGAACCAAAAUAAAAAAUUGCCUCUCCCUGCUUUCGUCUUGGUGUAGGGCUAGAGUUGAGAGAGAGGGGGAGAGAGGCAGAGAGAGAGAGAGGAGGAGGAGGAGGAGGAGGAUGGGUUUCUUACCAAUGAUGCCGGAGAGGGGCAAGCGUUGAGUGGAGGCGUGCUCCGAGCGGUUGCGAUUUUCGGAGGAGGGGGAGAAGUCUUGAAACAUUGCGAAGGGGGCAACAUGGCCUAUUAACCGAGUCGGGGAGGGAAGGGAGUGGGUUUUAAUCGAGUGAACCAAGUUAAUUAGUAGAAUCUGUGUCGGUCCCUAACCGGUCUAGUUUGGUAUGCCCCGAACCUGCCGGUUUGACACAGUUCAACAUACCAUGAUCCUAGGCAUUUGGUAAAACUGCCAAAAAAUGUUACUUAUUUGUUUUCUUAAUAAAAUAAUUUUAAGAUAUUGAAAUUUAAUUGUUUAAGGAUAAACAUGUGGACUAACAUAAAAUGGUUACUCUUAUAUCACUUGUUAAUUGCGCCAAAAAGCAUGCGUACAUCCAUAAAGGUACUUGCCCAAGUAUGGGAUGGCUGUUACGUGCCUAGGCAGCCACGUAGGCACCUACUUGCGUGAUUGCCCUGCUUGGAAUGUAUGAAUGCAACAGGUACCUAAAUUGUGGAUUUGCUAGUUGCUUUACGUUGGACCAUCCAGGCUCGUUGGUAGUGCCUAUGAGAAUGCUGAUUAACAUUCUGUAUAUUGAGGUAAAUCAAAUUUCCAUAGGUUUACUAAUUUAGGACUAGAGUUAUUUCUCUUGUCAUAGGCUUAGUGCAUAGCUAGACAAUCAUGCAGAUUCUAAGUGCAAAUUAGGGAGGAAUAAGGCUUUCUAAUUGGUUAACUCAUCCAAGGUUUUAAAUAUCAUGCGAUGGAACUGUGCUGGUUUUUCUGUGGAAUGGAUGCCUAGCAUCCUGCCCCUCGGGACGAUGGAUAUCCUGUCUUGUCCAGUUCCUUCUCGACUUGUCCCAUCCCGGUGCAUAGGUUGGUGUCCUAUCUUGAUACUAGAUGGUUAGAUGCCCUGCUAUCCCGCUAGUAUUUAAAACCUUGAUCUCAUCCUUCUAGUUUAGUUUGUUUUGGGAAUCGAAUGGUUUAACAAUUGAAGAAAUCUACAAAGGGUCGUUGUCAACACCUUUUCUUUUGGAAAGGUGAGGCACUGUACACUUGAGCUGUUUGAUGGGAAUUGUGAAACUUGUUUGGUCUAUGUGAUUACAAGGGGUAUGACAAUACAGGAAGUCAUCAGAUGUUUCAAUGGCUAUUAAACUAUUGGACAAAAUGCCAGUUAUAUGAAGCAUAUUGUGUCCGAAGGAAGUUCCUUUCAUGACCAUUUAUGUCAUAUAAAAACUAUAAUAUUAUUUUAGUCAAGCAUGGUUUGUAAGAAAUGUAUAGUGAGAUUCAAAGAGGAUGUGCUAAUAAUAUUAUGAGUCUUUCUAAGAGAGGCUUGUUGGAACUACCCAAUGCGUUAAAAGCGUUUGGUGGAUACGUAGCGGCCGAGGGGUUUCAUGCCAUGCAACAAAUGGCAAGCGAAAUGCGUGCAAGGUUGGUUGCUAAAAAGAUAUUAAUAUUUUACCUUACAAAUCAUCCAAGGAACAAUGUCUCCCAUGAAUUCAUGUGUUUGAUUUAAGAUUCAAUGAGUAAUAGUAAGUAUGACCAAUUGUUAUUUUUGUUACACGUCAAUGGAUACGUCAAAUUAAUUAAUUGUGUUUCUACAGAGUCACAAAUUAAAACAUUAUAUCAUUAUUUAAGAAAGUAAAAUGCUAAAAAUUGACGGUUGAUUGUGAGGAGUGGGGUAGAGCAAGUCAUGGUGCUUUUUGUUAUACAUAUUCAUAAAAAAAAUAAAGACAUCCACUUCAAAAUUGUUUUAUGUCUGCCACAUUGCUCGUCAUUAGCUAGGAUGCCAUGCUAAGCUGCCACAGGUCAUGGCAUGGCGAUUCAGAACCAAAACCACCUUGGCGUCUGCCAUGACCUUUUUUGAGAAUCAUGUCAAUUUGCACCUUUUGAGGACAAAAAUAUAUUGGGGAAAAGUCAUUGAGAAGUUCAAGGAUGAUCAUUAUUGUCCGUUACAUGAUUCCAAGAGGUCUCCUUACGUUGAUCGAAGAAGUGACUGGAAGCUUAUUAACAUUUUCUUUAAAGAAGUUGCAUCUAAAUUGAGAAGAACAAUUCCAUCGAUUGAAGAGUAAGGUUAAUUUUUAAGAGUCUCCCAUUAUAGAAAAUUUGAGUUAAUGACAUUUUUGCGGUACAUGGCCAUGUGUUUCUUGACCUUGAAACUGAAACAUUAAAUGAAUUGGAGGUCUAUAAAUCUUGCACUAUUCAUGAUUAUAUAACUAUUCAAUUUGAGCUGAUUAUGGAUAUGGGUUGAAGCAGGUCCUGUUGGACAGGGGUUUGGUGUGACCCAUUCUUGACCCAAAAGAUUCUCUGUCCAAGAUUCUGGCCAGAUCUGGUCUAUUCCAUUUGAGUGUUUGGUUAAGUUGGGCGCAAAUUAAUUGCGUUAGGUUUUCACCUCGAUGACCCAUGUUGAACCCCAAGAACCUGCGGUUCAUGUUGGUUUAGGAUUGGGUCAGGGUCCAAUUUUCAUGUCAUGUAGCUGUGUCCAAGCUUCGUUUAGAUUUUAAAACUAGUUCAUAGGAAGAAUUGCUUAGAGUGAAAUGCUGAUCUUAAUAAAAGGACCUUCAUGGCUUUUAGAGAGGGAGUGAAAGUGAGUGUGGUUAAGUGAAAUUAUAAAAAAUGAUGCUUAGAUUGAGAUUGUAGUAUCAACCAAAAGGGCUUGAUUACUGCUAGGGACCAUGGAUAAGGAGUGAGGACAAUCUAGAAAGCAAUAUUGUCAAGAUCGGGAUGGAGUUGUAAAUCAUAAAUAGGGUCAAAUCAGUAGAAUUGUGGAUUGGAUUAUGGGCUGUAAAAUUCUUUCCAUUUUCUUCAAAAGUUUCAAGAUAUAAAAGAAGUUGAGAAAUUAAACGAGUCAACCAUCGAGUACAUGAAUGAAGAAUAUGAGUGAUGCAACUAGUUUCCAGAAUCAUAAGCCCUCAUAUCAAAGGGUGAUUGUGAAAGUACAAAUAUUUUUGGAUUUGGCCCUUUUAGCUUCAUGAAGUUCAAAAGUUUCUUUUUUUUCUUUUAUUUUAGUAAGUUCAAAUUCCUAAUGGCCUUGCUAAUGCUAAGUAUUUGAGACAUAUUAGUCAUAAAAAUGUUAACUCUAAAAGCCAUACAUUCACACGUUAUAGAAAUUGCAAUUUCAUUCUCCUAUCACCAAGGCAUGGAGGCUUAUUUGACACCAUUCUAAUAGUUGGGCUGCCUAAACCAGAAUUGAGGUAGCGAAGGCAGCCGUCUCUCUCUCUCUCNNNNNNNNNNNNNNNNNNNNUCUCUCUCUCUCUCUCUCUCUCUCUCUCUCUCUCUCUCUCUCUCAAUGAAUAUGAAGAAGGCAAAAUGCAAUGCUGGUUUUUAGAAACACUAGGAAGAGAGAAUAUAACAUUUGGUUAUGUCCAUAGUGCUUACAAGGCUCAUAAAGUAAGACCCUGGCAAUCUCGGCGAUCAAUUAAUAAUUUAUUCAGAUAUAAGCUGAGAUUUGAGUCAUUGUUUCAAUAGGAUUGCUUGAGAUAUGCCUUGCCUCACACUUUUGAAUACAACACUCCAAAAAUAGCUUGAGGCUCUUUGGCAAGAUGUUACUAUGUGAGGCAUGUCACAGAAAAGGCUCAUGUGGGUUAGGGUUGGAGAUGAAGUUUAUUAGGGCGUUGUUGCACCUUAAUGUACGUAAAAACUCUUAUGAAGCUUGUGGUUGCUGGGGCCCCUUGUUCAACCCCUCCAUUCUCCAACUUGUUGUUUUGCACCCCACUCCCUUGAACCUAAUCUGUGGUUGCCACCAUCCUCCCAACUUGGGAAGCCCCACUUUCCCUCCCAUAGGUCCCACUUCGCUGUCCUGAACUCCCAAGGUCGACCUACCUUGUAACAAACUAGGACCUUACCCAAAAAGGUUAGCCGAAAGGUAUUAUUUGGAUUCCUUAAUUCUGUAUAAGUACCCAAGAUUUACUCAACGAAUGACCGAUGUGGGGCUAAACACACGCCCGCACGGGUUCUUGCAUACCCCCUCCUACUUCACAAUCCAACAACCUUAGAGCUUUGCCCUUAUAAUUCUAUGAUGGUAACAAUUUGGUUGUUACAAGAUUAAAAUCCUUAACUUCAAAAAUAUAUAAUAAUCUCCAAAUCCAUCAAAUCUGAAGUAUGCCUCAACCAACACUUUCUUUCUCUAUGUCCUAUAUAGGUCAUUCACUGGCAAUAACUGAUUGUUCACCUUCUCAUGGUUCAUAGAGUGCCAUUCACAUAGUUGCUUUGCCUGUGCUUAUGAGACAUGACAAUAGUUCGACAUGCUUGUGAUCCCAUGUUGUGGAAUUCCAUGCUUACUAAUUGUCUCUCUCUUAUUUGACCUUCUUUCAUCAUUUUCUAAUAAUAAACCUCUGGCAAUUUUCAAAUUUUUACCAUAUGGUAUUCUUUCAUCUUCCUGUCGUGAAGCAUGUGUUCAAUGCCUUAUAGAAAUUAACAGCAUACAACUUUUUGAAAAUUAGAUUUGGUUUAUUUCUGCUUUUUAUGAACUGACAAGUCCAUAAUUUAAGAAGAAACUUGUACCUCUUCUCUAAUUCAGAAAUAAAUUAUGCAUAUCAAUAAGAAAGUGAUGUAUACUUCUAUUAGCUGUCUCAAUAAGUAACAAUGUCUACAAGGUUGACAGUGCUAAAUUGCCCUCUCUUCUCAUGCUUUCUCAUUUCAGGAUGGAAACUUUUCUAUUUUUUGAGCAACCAUGUGAUAGAUACUUUAUAUACUUGGUACAAAAUUAAUGAUAAACUAUGCAAAUUAGAAAAUUUUUUAUUUUUAAUCAAAUUUUAUUUACAAUUAUUAGGAUAAGGUAAAAUGUAUAUUAGAAAGUCUAAAGACUUUGUCCCAUCAAUGUAGAAAUUCUAGUUGUGCCUUGAUGUGGGAUACAACCAACAUCUUGCACAUCGAGUUAUUUCUUUGUAUGGAAAGCACAUAUAUUCCAUUUUUUGUCAUUACAACAAUGAUGGGCAAGAAAAGAUCUUUUUUCCUUUUCUGGUAUAAUUUUUCAUGGCAUUAUCUAUAGACUUGGAAUUCAAAUAGGAGAAUGUUAAGAUAUCCUAAAUAUGUUAUCAAAUGAUUUGGGCAAAUCUACAUUAUGAAGUGCGAUCUUUAGCAAAUUUUAUUAUCAAAUUCAAACACAAUUCAACAAGAACUAGUCUCCCAAGAUCAUAGUAGUAACUACGGAAGGUUAGAGAGGGAGGGAGAGAGAUAAUGCAAGAUCUUACCGACUUCUCUUUAUUUUGUUUUGAUUGAAAAGAGUUAGGGAAGACCUAACUCAGAAAAUUUAUUGAGGUUUGCCAUUAUAUGAGUACAAGAAGGUUACAUGAGCUUUAUGAAGGUGGAGACGGGAUGAAGGUCUCAAGGUGAGGCACAGGUAGGUUGCCUUCUCAUUGACAUGUGCAAGGGAGCCACGUCUUCUGCACCCAAAUGAUUACAACAUUUAAUUGGAAGUGGGGUCGCUGCAAGGCGUAUUUUAGGCGGGGGUAUUUGAGAGCUGGGGCUUCUCUAACUUUAGGCAUUCUCCUUUUCUUCGAGGCCGCCUGCCUUGCUGCCGGCUUAGGGUUGCGCUCCAGCCAUAGAAUCUAGCAUCCUGUGCUGAGUAAGGCAGCCAAUCCGGGCAACAUUUCUCUCUUUGGUAGGGAUGCACGCCAUGGAACCCACAAAUCUGUUUGGGCAACUUCUCUUUCAAUUGAGCUUGAUGGAUGUUGUCUAGGUAUGGUGGUAUCUAGGCUAAAGAAAGGCGAGUAGAAGAGAAAGUAGAUGAAAAUUUAUUAGGUACCCAAUACUCUUAGGUGAUUAAAGCGAAUGGCCAUGGAAUUCCUUAGAGGUUAGGCAUUUUGAUGACAAGAUGGGAUCGAUUAGGUAUCCAAGUCUCAUAUGUCGUGGAUUGGGGUUUUAGAAGAAGAGAACUGUUACAUCUUGAUAUUGUUUGUUAAAUACUUAAUAUCCAAUCAGUUUUCUAGGGGUCGCCAAUGGCCACCUCUUACAAUGAUUUUUAGCAAUGGGUAUAUUUGAUUAUUGGUAAAAUGGUGCUCCUAUAGGUUAACUUUGCAGUAGUGGAUUCUCAUGCUCUUUAUGCUUCUUGCUCAACUCAAAUCUCUUACAAAAUUCAAGAAGACAAUAAACUAGAAAGAAAUUGGGUAGAAAGCAUGGUAAAACCCACUUUACUUUCUUUUCAUCAAUAUGUGUACAAAUCUAUAUUAUAAAGCCCCUAUUUAUAUAGUGAGGUUCAUCCCCUAAUUUAGGUUGGAAUCCUCCCCUACCUAGUCAGGCCGAGUUUUUCCAAAAUAGAAAAAUACUACAAAAGUUUCCAAAACUAGGUGGAAGCUAUAUGUCAACUUGUACAUCAACUUCACCUUCUGUCAUGUUGCCAAAUUCUUCCUAGAUUAAAAGAUAUAGCUUAGUCAAAAAUCAGAAAUGACAAAGUUUAAUUUUACCAAGCAUUUCAGGGGCCUACAUGGAUCAUCAAUUUAUUAUUUCCUAUAUUUGUAAUCAUUCAGGAAUAUUCACAAGACUUGUUCCUUUUUGAGAGUCUAAAAUUCUUAUGCUUUCAGAUUUUUAAACAUUGAUCCCAGUUUAUCUUGUGAAUUUGAAAAGUAGAAGGCUUUAAAUUUCUUCUUAAAAUUUUUCUCUUGUUUGUAAGAGAUAUGUAGAUAUCUUGCUUAAAUGUGAGUUAAGAUAUCUAAGUACCGGAUGAUAUGAUGAACAGAUAUGCUCAAUAGAUAAUAUACAUUUAUUAUUUUUUACAGGGUUUCAUUACCUUCAUAAUUCAUACCGCCUAGUAAGUAAUAAAUAACCUAAUAUAUAAAAAGAAGAUAAGAGGUAUUGCCGCUGCUUAUUUCUGUUAAUUAAUUUUAAUUGGGAUAAAAUGUGCAUUUAAAGAUAUACACACACAACAAAUGAAAAUAAUUAGUGUAAUUAAUGAAAAGCAUAAAAUAAUUGUUCAAGUGCAUGUCUGCUUUAUGGUAGCAAGUUCAGUUCUUGAUGGACAUACAAUAUGUGGUCAUGCGUGUGCAUGCCUUUUACUAUAUGGCCAUUCUCGACAAUCUAUUAUUAAAUAUAGCUAUUCUUGACAAAUUGCUCAACAUUUCUAACUCUGCUUGUAUCAGCUAAGCAUUUACAUCGGAACACUUAAUAUGAUUGACAAUUAACGUGUUGUAUUGAGUGCCCGUAUCCAUGCUCAUGUCCUUUCUUUUCUCAUUGUUUUUUCCAACUUCAAUCUUGUGUAGUGAAUAUCCAUUUCAAAAUCCAUGUAUUAGUGUCUAUAAGGUUUGGUCACAGCUGGCUUUUUUAUUUGAUAAUCUAAUUUCUUUCCAUUUUGUUAUAUUUUUCAUAUCUUCCCAGGUAUUGGUUGAUCUGUGUUGCUUUCUUUUUUUCUUUUUUUUUUGCUACCAUUAUACUUCCAGUUUCUUUUUUGGGAUAAAAAAUUAUCAUGCAUGAAGAAAGGUAUGAGUCUCUGUAUCCUUUUGUCCUUUCUUCCAUCCUAUAAUAAUUGCAUCAAAUGGAUUGACAUUAACCACUCUGUGCCCAUUCUCUGCCAUGAUCUUCUUUAACACAUCGUGCUUUUGAUAUUUCUAUUUAUAUUACCUGACAAUUAACUCAUUUUCUGACUUUCAUAGUAGCAGCAACUUUUGAUUGAUAACAGCUCCUUUAUUUUUUGAUAACAAUGACAACCUAUUUAAUAGUCAAUAUUUUGUAUCUGGACCUGCAGAAAAUAAAUCCACUAAUGAUGCUAGCAGGGACCAACCUGCUGUUCCAUUGGUCUCUGGUUCUACAACCACUAGUAAUGCAGAAAGUAGUGUAUCUACUCCUAAAAUGGGCGACGAACUCAAAGUUGCUUCUCAGCUGCGAAAAUUCACUUUCCAUGAGCUCAAGUUAGCCACAAGAAACUUUAGACCAGAGAGUCUACUUGGAGAAGGAGGCUUUGGUUGUGUUUUCAAAGGCUGGAUUGAGGAGAAUGGAACAGCUCCUGUGAAACCUGGUACAGGACUUACUGUUGCUGUAAAAACGCUUAAUCAUGAUGGUCUUCAAGGGCACAAAGAGUGGCUCGUAUGUAGCUUACUCCUUCUGUUUCGAGACAUCACAAAAUAAUUUACUACAAUUUCUUUUUAUAUAGAGUUUCUUCUGCAUAUUGGAACACAUGGUUUUGCAGGCUGAAGUUAAUUUUCUUGGUGAACUUCUGCACCCGCACUUAGUGAAACUGGUAGGGUAUUGCAUAGAAGAUGAUCAGAGGUUGCUGGUGUAUGAGUUCAUGCCUCGUGGGAGUUUGGAGAAUCAUCUAUUUAGAAGUAUGUAACUGCCUAUAUGAUGAAUCUAUUUCAUUUCUUUUUGUAUCUUGCCAUGUCUAUGCUUGCAGUCUCUUUCGGUUUCUUAUGAUAGUUCUGCUCGUCGAGAAAUUUUUGCUUGUGAGGCAAGUAUGCAUGCUAUCUUUGUUUCUACUUAAUACUUGUCAACACCUACUGUGAUGUUGUUCUAAGCUGGAAUACAGUUAUUUCUCUGAGUCAUAUAAGAUAGUCUGGAUUUCAUAAUAAUCAAAAGUUUUCAGUCACAAGCCUUAAGAUACAAGAAAUCUGCUUGCUUUUAGUUACAUUUUUCAAUGAGAGGGCCAAAGGCUUAAUAUACAGUUUACCUUUCGUCAGGCUUUAUAGUUUCUAGUAGGAUUAGCAAAGCAUACUGCUUUUGAAUGAAAGGACUUUGAUAUAGUUGAGUCAGUUGUUUCUUUCUCGUUCCUUCUUUUUUCAUAAAAAAAUGGACCUUAUCAUGCAUCCGACUCUUUAGAGGCAAUGCUAUCAUAAUGGUGUUAUCAGCACAUGACUCUGGUGGUGCUUAAGAUCUGCUGGCUAACAUACGGGAGCUGUCAGAUCUCCAUUUUUUUGUUUUAUUAAGAAACAGUAUAACUUGUCUCACAUCUUAAUUGUCAGAAGCAAAAUCCUCAUAAAACACUUGAUCAGUUACAACUCCCUGAGCUGAAUGCUAUAAUUACAUGCAUUGUCCAAAUGCUUUACAUUUGGUUUUUGAUAUCCCCCUCCAACCUCAUUUAGUUGUCCUGAAAAAUCAAAUACUUUCACUUACAUUCAAUCACUUUGUCUCAUUAUAUAUAUACUUUCCUCCACCCCCAAUUUCCACUACCAAUUCCCCAUCAAAAAUAAAUUAAACCCAAAAUCUUCAACGGGAGACAAAACAGACUAUUUUUUACUUUUUUUUUUGGAGUUCAGAACUUGUCCUCAGCCGUGGAGUCUCGGUUUAAUAGACAGAAAAAUGCUUCAGCACACUUGUAUCUUUCUGGGCAGUUAAUAUAUUCUACUGGAGGACCUGGAUUGAUUGCUUUAAUUGGCUACAACUGGCUAUGCCCAAUAGGUAGUGGUUUACUUAGAAUGUGUCUUAAAACUAAGGAUAUUUGUUCACAGAGAAGUAAAUCCCAUAGAUUUAUUGCAUUUCACAAGGCAAGCAUAACUAGCAAACAGUUUCAUUGGAUUCUUCAAGUCAUCGCGUUGAAUUAAUAUGGAGGAAUUUGUUUCAUUAGAACUCAAGUUUGACAAAGUACAAUUUUGGUCUUAAAAACUGAUAAAACUUCCUUCGUUUAUAUUUAAAGCACAGGGACUCAACAAACAUCUCCAGUUGGAUUGUUCUGUCCAACUAAACUAGCAUGUAGCCAAACACUUCUGGCUCUAUUUGUGUGCUUCUCUGAUAAUUUGUAUCUAUAGAUUCAAUAUCCUUAAAAACACCAGAGGUAGUCUUUGUUAUUAAUGAUUGGCAAUGACGAUUCCUAAAGAUGACUCAUGUCCUUUGACAAGGCUUGCUGGUUAUUCUUAUGGUUAUGCUCAAUGUCCUUAUUGAGAUAAUAUGAGGUUGACUUGUCCUUUUGUCCUUUUGGAGCUUCAGUUGUGUUUUCAUCACUAUAUGCUUUUAUAACUUUUGGAAUUAAGUUGCUCGCAUAUUGUUACCUCAUAAAUUUAAGUUGAGUCGAUUUUGAGUAAUUAAUAAUUUGACAUUUAUAACAAGUUAUGACUUUUGAUUUCAGAGUUGUCUCUGUUAAUUUAAAGAAUUGUACUUAAUCAUCCAAGUGUGUUUCUUCUGGCCUUGCCUUCGGACAGAAAGACUACAUGCUAUUGGAAAUUUAGUAAUUGCUCGAGUUACUUGAAUAUGCAUAACAGCAGUUUGGCAUACUGUAUACUCUUGUUAAUGAUAUAAGCUUUAUCCUUCUAAAUUUUCUACCCAAACAUACAGGCAUGUAGAUGACUAGAAAAUGCACAUGGAAGUUUUUUUAUUUCCUAUGGAUUAUUUUUCUCUGUAGUUUUUGUUCCUCAUUCAAUGUCUGAAAAUAUUGCACUUUUAUACUAAAUAUAGCACCCUUUUUGGAACAUGGGACAUGCAUAUCUGUUAGACCUUUUUAUAAUUGUUACUAGAGUUCAAGUUGAUGUUAAAAGCUUGUGUAAAUGGCAAUGCUGAUGCUAGAUAGGGCAAUGCUGAUGCUAGAUAGCACAAUGCUUAUUUAACCCAGUUAUCUAGAUAGGCUGUCAAAUGAACCAAGUAGCUUGAGAAAGGUCGAUUCAAGCUCGAUUUAGAAUUAAACAAACCAAACUUGAAUUAGCAAAAGAAGCUCAAAAUUAAUUGAAGUUGAGCCCAAAAUUGACCCCACUUGAUCAGGUUUGGCUCGAGAAGGCACGAAUAUAUUUAUAUUCUAUACCAUGUCAAGGAUUGUUGUGCCGGUACCGGGGUCCGUACCGGUUGGUUGGCAGCACGAUUCGAUAUGCCCCCAUGCUGUUCGAUGUUGGGCCCAUACUGACAUAGCAAAGAGGGCGAGGGAGAGGGAGAAUGAGAGAGAGGAAAAGAGAAAGGGGAGGAGGGAGGGAGGGAGAGAGAGGGUGAAGGUCGGUGCAGUGUGCCCUGACAUGGCAGAGAGGGGAAGUACAGAGAGAGGAAAGGAGAGGGGGAGGGAGGGAUGAGGGUGGCAGACGGCCGGGGAAGGCCACCGAAGGGCCGGAGAGUGGUGCAGAGGGACAGAGGAGGGGCUCUGCCGUUCGGACCCCUAUUUUGUUCGACAUAGGGGUCCUGAACGAGGCUCAUUUUUAUUUUGAAAAUAUUAAGUGAAGUUGGCAAGAGAGUGGCUGACUUCAGAAUGAAACAUAAAUUUCGGACGAGGUUCUUUUUUAUUUUGAAAAUAUUAAGUGAUGUUGGCAAGGGUGUUGCUGACUUCAUAUAAAAUUUUCAAAUAAAAAAAGAGGCAUGUCUGGGUUCCGGAGGGCGGAGCCUCUCCUCUACCCCUCCGCGCCACUCCUCGGCCCUUCGGUGGUCUUUUUUUCCUGUUCGCACCCUCUAUCUCUCUCCCUCUCUCUUUUUCUCUUUUCUUCUCUCUUCCUCUCUGGUUUCUCAUGUUGAAUGCCGUAGUAGUCCUUGUCUGCCAUCGGUGCGGCCUCGAAUCAGACGGUUCGGGACGGUUUCAUUCCUUGUACCAUGUUAUAUAAUAUAUACUAUUUUGAGUUUGGGCCUUAGUGCAGCAGUAGGGUUGCUCCAUUGUAAUCUGGUAUCACAAUUAUAGAAACAACCUCUCGCAUAUAGGGGUAAGGUUUUGUACAGCGCCUAGGGGUGGCAAUUUGUGAUCCGACCUGUGAACGACUCGCUUUAAAGAGGUUUGGGUUUAAAAUAAACAGGUUUAGGUCGUAAAUGGGUCAACCUGUCUAAACUUGUUUAUAUAAUGGAUUGGGUUCAUAUUUAAAUUUUUGACCUAUUUAACCCAUUUUGACCUGCUUAAUAAUUGGGUCGGGUUAUAACCCGGCCUAUUGAACCUGUUUAAAAUCUAUUUAACCUAUUUGAAACCUGCUUAAUCUAUUUCUGACUUGCUUAACCCGACCCACUUAACCUGUUUAAAUCAAUUUAACCUGUUGAAAGUCCGUCUAACCUGUUUAAUAAAUGGGUUAUGUAGGUCGGGUCAAGUUACCUGUUUAAUAAACAGGCCGAAUUCAGAUUUAAAAUUUUGAUGUGUUUAAUAAAUAGGUCGGGUUUGGAUUGAUGAAUUUUUGACCUGACCCGCAUCAAACCCAACCUGUAUCUAACCUGACCCGACCCAAUUGUCACCCCUAACAUCGACCCUCUCCAAACUCUACAGUGGUGGGAGCCUUAUGCACUGGGAUGCCCAUUAUAUGAUAUAUAUUAUUUUGCAAAUCUAUAUGAUAUAUUGUUAUAUUAUUAUAUAUUACAUUAUACAUAAUGGACCAUUUGAUCGAGCCUUUGAUUUUUUUUGGUUAUUCUUUGAGUCAGUUAAACGUUAAAACAAGCUCAAAUCAAGCUUGUAUCGAGAUUUAGUUCAAGGUUGAAUGUUUUUUGGCUUAAUUUAGGAUCAAUUAUGCUCCUGUUCAGUUUGGUUUCAAAUUGAGUUCAAAAUCUCAAAAUAGUGAUAACCAAAUCAAGCUUGAUCUUAGAGUUCAUGCUCAAGAUUAAUUUUGAACCAGGUUUGAUCACGCCCAAGCUUGAUCAAGUUUGGCUCAAUUGCAUCCCUAGUUAUGUAGUUUCAUUGUUCAUAUACUGUUUGGUUCACCCUUUGUUUCUGUUAUGAUAAGCAUCAGGAGUCUAUCUGGGAACAUACUGAUUUCUUGAAAAUUUUAUCGGACCACAACCAUUACUUGUAGAGCUAAAAUAGCUGUCCACGAAUGGAGACAAUCACAAUCUUACAACUUUCGUAAUAGUAAUAGUUAUGGCAAUCGUCCUUGUUCUUCAAACAUCAAAUUUGGAGAACAAUGUCCUUUCUGGUGAGGCAUUUAUGCGUUGGCAAAGACACUAGACAGCAGCUCAAGGAUGUCAAUUUUGUACCGUAACUCUUUAACUGAAAAUUAUAAUAGAAAUAUAGGAUAUACAAUUCCUAAGAUUGACAUAGCUAUUCAUGGCAUGUUAAAUUUUAGAUAUUUAUCCACUCUGCUACAUGAUUUUGUGCUUCUGUUUUACUUUUUAUCCAUGCCUUGCAUUAAUUAUAAAAUCAACCAACUAAUAUUCUCCAUCUGGCUGGCCUUGUAAAUUUCUUUUUUUUUUUGUUACUUUAAUAUCUUUUCAGCAAUUGCUACUGCUGUUUUUCUCAUUUGUUGAGAGGAGGUGGGUGUGGUGCAUUUGUGGAUAGAUUCCAUUUGAAGGGCAUGUGUUAAUGAGUUGAUUUAGGGAUAGCACUAUGAACUACAUAGGGACAAAUAGAGCUAUGCCCCUGCUAUGGCCUUUACAUAUAUUACCGACCUUGAAAGAUGUGGUUUUUGUAUUCUCAAAUUUGCAAGCUUGAGCAUUGUGCUAUCUUUUACUAUGUUGAACUGCUCGUUAACAUUUUUAAUGGGUAACAGGAUCUCUUCCACUCUCGUGGUCUGUUAGAUUGAAAAUUGCACUAGGAGCUGCAAAGGGUCUUGCCUUUCUUCAUGAAGAAGCAGAAAGACCAGUUAUAUAUCGUGAUUUUAAGACGUCUAAUAUUUUGCUUGAUUCAGUACGUAACUGAACUUCCUAGCAACAAUAUAUAUAUAUAUAUAUAUAUAUAUUCUCCCUCAUGUUCCCGCUCUUUCCUCCCCCUUUCUGACCAUGUGCUUUUCCAGGAUUACAAUGCCAAGCUUUCUGAUUUUGGACUUGCUAAAGAUGGCCCUGAGGGAGACAAGACUCAUGUGUCCACAAGAGUGAUGGGAACGUAUGGUUAUGCAGCUCCAGAAUAUGUAAUGACAGGUAACUUUACCGCAAUGUUUUUAUUUCUGAAUUGUGGAAACAAUUUGCAUGCAGACUUGGCAUUAGAGUUGAUAAUUGUUUCACAACGCUGUGUUUGCUUAAAAAUCGAAACAAGUCGACCAAAUAACAGAAAUAUUUUGCUAAUAUUUUGAUGAGAUUUUUCUGCUAUAUUUUGCCAAUAAAUAAUCACGGCUUGCUAUUCUUCAAAUAGAUGCAUCUGGUUCUUUUGUUGAGCAUGAGUACUUAAGAAAUGUAACUGCAAUUGGACUUGGAAAGGUACCUUUAUUUCCCAGUUCUUUUUCUCUCAAACGAUGAGAGCAAAAGCAAUAUCCAGAAGGAAGAUAUGGUUAUAGCAAUAUAAUAUAUAUUUAAAUAUAAUCCUAAUUACUUGGUGCUGGCCUCAUGAGUAUCAACAUCCUCCUGUCACUUUGAUUAUUCCAUAGUGUAGCAGAGAUAUCAGUUGUUUGUUCCAUUGGAUCUUUGGAGGCAGCACAAGCACUUCAAAAGUCUUUUAGACUAUGGCUUUUCCAGUCAUUGCUACUCUACUAGGCUGGCAAUGCUACUGAAGAUAUUUACAAGCGAACCUUGAUUUGUCAUGAUUUCACCAGAAGUUCGUCAACAAACCUUGUCUGCCUAUGAUGUCUGUCAUCCCCACAUGCUGUGUUAGUAUUUGGACUCUUCAUUUACUCAAUCUGAAAUCUUCCUAGCAAUUAGUCUAUAAGUUCUAUAUUUAUAGAUUGCAAAUAUGUUAUGCCCACCGCUCCCUCUCAUGUUUGCCCACCCAAUCAUCAGGUGUAGGUACUUGAGCAUUUCUUCUUGAAUCGUAGCCCUAUGACAUCCCUAGAGGAAGCUCUGCAUUUUGUUAGUUCUUCUUUGGUAUGGGGAAUUAAAGUAACAGAUGCCCAGAAUAGACAGAACCUGGAGAUAAUAAGGAGACAACUUGAUAGAGAAAAUGAGUACGUUGCUUUCAAAAGUAGCUCUCAUUAUGUAAGUCUGAAAUAGUAAACUAAGCAUUCAUAGAUAUUGCUUGAGGCCAAUUCAGAUAUUAUCAUUUUCAUAUUUCACCAUUUAUUAAACAACACAGUUGUGAAUUGUAUCCCUUCAGGUUCUUAUUUUAUCCAUGUUAGACUACUACAAUUCAGUUUGGAUGUGGCUUGAUAUUUUGGCUUUUGAGUUUGCUGUGAUAUUCUGGCUUCUGAUAUGUCUCUUCUUUUUCGUACAAGGACAUCUGACUUCAAAGAGCGAUGUUUACAGCUUCGGGGUUGUCCUACUCGAAAUUCUAACAGGGAGAAGGUCUAUGGAUAAGAAUCGGCCCAAUGGCCAACAUAACCUGGUUGAAUGGGCACGCCCCCAUCUUGGGGAAAGGCGGCGCUUUUACAGGCUUAUAGACCCUCGCCUGCAGGGCCAUUUCUCUGUCAAAGGGGCACAAAAGGCAGCUGAGCUGGCACACCGCUGCCUCAGUCGGGAUCCCAAAGCCAGACCGCUUAUGAGUGAAGUGGUGGAAGCCCUGAAACCACUACUCAACCUUAAAGACAUGGCCAGUUCAUCAUACUACUUUCAAACCGUCCAAGGAGAUCAUGGUGCUGCCAAUAGCAGUAAUUCAAGUAUCCGAAAUGGCUUAAAGAAACAAAUUUCCUUCUCUAAAAAUGGGCAGCAACCAAUGAGGAGCCUUUCAAAUAGCACGAUUAAUUCUCCGUACCAUCAAUCACCAAAGAUCAAUGCUGAACAGCCAUGAGUUCAUCCAUUUCCAUCUGUCAUCUCCUCAGAGGAAUACAAAACUAGGAUGGGCAUUAGGUCUGCAGGCUUGUGUUGAUGCUGGUGCUGGUGGACAUUCAACAGUGAGGUUUAAUUGACCAAUAUUCUCUGUUGAUUCUAAAUUAUCUGAAGAUACACCUCUUAAGGAUAAUUAUAACUGAUGCCUGUUUGUCUUAUUCAAGUAAUUGUCAGUUGUUUGAUAUUAGCUAGAUUCGUUUCAAAGAUAUUUGGCAGGGUUAUCAGAUUUUGUCAAGAAGCAAAAAGGAGGAGAUCCCAGGAGAAGAAAAGGGUUCUAUUUUCUUUCUUUUGUAAUUAAAUUAAACUUAAUGCAGUAGAGGGGCAGUUUUGUUCAACAAGUUACAAGUUGAAUGACUUCAUGAACAUGGUUAAAACAGUGCAGAAAUAUUUCUCUUUCUCAGUACUGAAAUAUAAACAUAAUAGGAGGAGGGCAAGUAAAUAGCAUAAUGUAGUUGUAAAAUUAGGUUGACCAGUUAUUUGGAUUCUACAAGAUAGCCUGGGUUGAAAAUAAUGAAUAUCAUAUGAACUUGCUAGAGGACCCACAGCAAGGUUGAGUGAAUGUUGUCAUCGCUCCAAACCUAAUCCGUGAAGAGAUCUGGUGACCUGACGAGGUCUCUGCUCGCUAAUCCAAAUUCAGGCUUGGCAUUUAGCAGCUCUUUCAAGGAGGAAAAACUUACAGGCAAGAGUGUUUGACAAAGCAUGCCUUACUGAAGAAAAAAAAUGAAGUGUUUCGCCUCCCCCAAUCUGGGAAGGGGAUAGAUAGGAUUGAAGCCAUUUGAAUGCCCCAGGAGCAGUCAUUCAGCACUCAUUUUCCUUCAGGGGCUAGGUCAUUGUAUAAAGAAGCCGCGAGAACCCACGUAGGAUUCAGAUGCACAAGCCAACGUGAAUUUCAAGCUCAUGAGAUUGAAUAGAAUUUUCAUCUUGAUCGAAAACAAAAGCCAGUAACUAGCAGACCAGUGAAUUUUAUCUCUGUAUUACUCCAUUUGCAGGUUUAUGGUUUUCUGAGUGGCCUAGCAGAAACAACUUGGUUGCGGUCAUCCUUCACCUAGAGUUGCAUGGAAACCUCAACCAACAAAACAUAUGCAUUCGAUGCACGUAGAAUCUGCCUGAUAGCACUCAAGAAUUGUGACAUCAGCUUUUAAUGUCAAGCAGCCCGUUGCCUUGAAAGUUAAAACCUCUCCUGCUCGUUGAGACUUGAGAGUUGAGACCCUGCUCGGCGACAUAUAUAUAUAUAUAUAAUAUAAUUCCAUUUGCCACCUGUCACCAUAAGCCCAUUAUACUAUUUAACUAAUUCUAUCCCAUCUAUUUGAUCUCACCAAAUUAUUAAAAAGAUAUUACGAAGCACAGACUACUUUUGAUACAGUUUAGUGGGAAAAAAAAAACUGAUUAUUGAGAUUCAUAGUUGUACAUACUCAACUGUGACAUAUUGCCAUCUCUAUUUAGUGAUGCAUUAAUUACUACAUUUAUUUCUUAGAAGCACAAGUCAUCAUUGUGUAGAAUAGAUAGCUUAAAUUCAUUUCAUCAUGCAGCUUUCCUCGUCAGCUGAUCUUUUGAUGUGCUCUCAAAGAUCUUAUCGGCAUUGCCAACUUCAAAACCAUCACGUCUAUGGAAUUCCUUGAUCUACCAGUGGAAAAAAACAACAACAAUUAAAGGCAGGAGAGAUGCAGAAGAAUGGCAAGACAAAGUUUAAUACUUAGAUGCACAGACGGGGGACUAAUAACAAAGUUAGUAUCAACUACCAAGACAAUAUGAAGUAAUGCCUGCUAAUUUGAUACCAUAUAGUCAAAAUUAGCAUUUGAUAGAGAUUGAAAGUACUAGUGUUCAGGUUGCCUGAUGUUAAGGCCAUGAUCUAGCAGCUAUUCCAAAAGAAAAAGAUUGCAAUGAAUUACCCCACCUAUUGAGAUUAAUAGAAUUUUGGGUUAAAUUCAGAAAGUCAUUCAUUCCGGAAGCAGCAAAAGUACCAAUGCUGGCAAAUUAUUAAUGAAAUCAUCAAUGUAGUAACUGGUGCCUGCAAUCAAAAUUUUAAGGAAUCUUCAAGUACAAAAUAAUCCGAAAUGUUCACCGGGAUGUUGCUCUUUUCACUUCGCAGAAAUGACAUCGUGUUCCUCCCCCGCCCCCCCCACCCCAAAAAAAAUAAAGAAAUAUAUGGCGCUCUUGACUAUAGAAAGGUAUCGUUUUCAUUACAUUAAAGGUUUUUUUCAUAUUAGUCCCUGAGAGAUACCUGUUUUGCAUAUUAGUUCCUCAAUUCUUUAAAAUUGCAAAUGAAUCCCUGAAAGAAAUACAGUCCGUUUCAUAUAGGUCCCUGCAGUGCCAUCUAGUUAAACACAGCUGGAGCAGAUAUUUGGAGUUUUAGCUGAUUGGCAUUGGAUUAUUAUCUUGAAGUUUUUACCUUAAAUUAUAUAACGUUAUUUAUUUAUGUAUUUUUUUCAUAUCAGUUUUUGAUUAUUUGCAUACCAGUCCCUUAGUUUCCCCUGAACAAGAUGAACAGGCAGAUUCAAGAAGAAGCAUUUGUUAUAACAUCUACAAUUUUCGAGUUACGGAAAUCCUUGAUGCGUAGAACCAAAAUAUAAAAACUGAAGAUUCAAAAUGCAUAGCACAUUUUAUAUGCAUGUUAUGGAAAAUUAAUUUAUUGUCUCUUGGACUUCUUGCAAAGUCUUAAGUAGAUGUAGAUACCUACUGAUGUGUCAUAUAUGACAAAUGCAUAUAUAUUUGAAUCAAACAGUGGCUCCAUUAAGAACGUAAACCUAAAGACUGUUGGGAAAACAAAGAAAUCCAAACCUCAUCAUUUGCUAAAUUUUUAUACUGAGGUAGCACAAGCCGUUCUGCAAAUUCGAUGUAUGAACAAGGAACAGAUUCGGUGACCCCAUCAGCAAAAUUAAAAGAAGUUGAAUCAGCCACAGUUGAACUUUGCAGUAGAAGGCCAUCAGGGCUCACUAUCAAUAACAACAAAGAAAAAAAGACCUGAGAAUGCUUGUUUUGCAAUGCCUGAAAACCAUAACAACAGAAGACAGUUCUAAAACAGAUCUGACUAUUACCUACUAAACAAAACAUUAGACUACUGUUUUUGUUAAUGCAAGAUGACACAUUAAGCAAACAGGAAAUAUUGUGAAAUUAUGAUAUCAUAUCAAUAAACAACUGGAUGAGAAGUUGUGACCAAUCUUAUUAUGUGGACAAGUACAGCUUGAGGAAAAGGGUCAGAUUUGACGAGGAAAAAUUAACUCCAUAAGAUGUAAGGUUAUCUAGUAGGUAGAAAACCUAUGAGAACUUGCUACAAAGCAUAUGUCUUAACCUCAGGUUGCAAGAAGGAGCCAGAACAUUUUUUGGCUACUUUCUACGGUACCAGAAGCUUAUAUUUUCUGCAUGGUUCAGAAUGUUGGGCCAUAUGGGUGGUCCAAACAAAAAGAUGAACAUGGAAGCAAUGAAAAAGUUGAGAUGGAAGUGUUGUGAAGCAUAAGAAAUCAAUAUAUUAUAAGACAUGCAGGAUUUAUAUCAAUUGAAAAAACAAAGUGACAGAAUUGAUUCAAAUGUUAUAAAACUAUGGACAUAUGCAGUGAUAUUUUGAGAUGACCAUGGUAAGGAGAGAUGAUGGAAUAUGUGAUUCGAAGAAAAUCUUAGAUGAUUGGAUUAAGUUUCAAGAAAAGAUUUGAAAAAUUGCAAUAACACCAAAAGUAACACUUAAUAGGAAUGAUUGACAAAUGAGAAUUCAUGAAACCAACCCUAAAUAAUUGGGAGAAGGCUUGAUGCUUAUAUAGAUGUGAUUUUCAAUUUUACAGUUUAUGGACAAAAAUUAAACAUUCCACCUUCUACACUGAAGCAUGAAUAAAUUAUAUGCAUACACUGAUAGCAUGUCAAAGCAGGAAUCAGAGUUAUACAUGUGGCAUGAACUGGCAGGUGACUAUACCAUGCGUUAUUAUGUCAAUAUUGCUGCUCAACUCAACCCAACUCCACUAAGCCUUUCUCCCAAACUAGUUGGGGCCAGCUAUAUAAAUCCUUUUCCUCCAUUCCGCUAUGUUUAGGGCCAUACUUUUUGAAAGAUUCAAUAUUGACCGCUUUGGCACAAAACAAUUCAAAGAGCAAAUGCAUUUUACACUAUUUCAAAUAGACAAUAUCCCACAAGCAUAUAGAUAGAGUUGUUUUUUUUUAAUCAAGACUACUUUAUAUAAUUAGUUUCUCAAACAUGGAACCAGACAGAGUUGAUUGCAGACCUUUUAAUGUCCCCCCUUCAGAAUUCAGUUUGAAUCCAUGAUUUUCAAUGAACUCAUUCAGGCUUUUGAUGUUUCUAAUAUGAGAUUUCAGCUGAUGUGUGGAAAUAGUGACAUGAUUCAAUGCAUAACCAUUAACAAGAGUCCAUGCAGCAUAUUCACUUUCCCUGAAACAGUAAACCAAAGAAUAAAAUAGAAUAGCCAAAACAAUGUCAGCUCAAUAACAAAAAAUACCAGAAAAUGCAGGAUUCAACUCAUUUCCUUCAGCAACUGUUAAAAUAAAUUCUGUGCAGCAACUUAAAACUAAGUACUUGUGAUAUUAUACUUCAGAGUUCAGACUGCAAGGCAAACACCAUCGAACAAGAUGUCGCACUUGCCAGAUUUACUGCUAAAAAAGUACCUAGCUAAUUGUUGAUAGUCAGAAUAUAAAGGUUUCUCCCAUGUUAAACAUCCCAAUGCACUUGCGAUGGAUGCAUGUUCGUUCCCAUUACCAGAUGUUUUGAUGCAUUUCCUAAUCACUUCCUGCAUGCACAGGCAAUAACUGAUGGUCAUAAUCUACAAAUAAAAAUUGGAUACAGGAUAAAGAAAGACUGGUAUUGGCAAAUAAGGUAAAAUAAAGGUAACCACAAUCAGCUUACAAACUGAAAAGAGAAUGUUACAAUAUGCAAUGAUCAGUAAGAUAAAGUUGAAUAUACAAUACCUUGCACUAAAGAAUGCUGGUAUACUCAUGUAAAAUAGCAAAUUACAAUAGAUUAGUAGGUGGUUCAGGAUCAUUUUAGCAUGACAUCUGAGACUCGGUGUUAUUAGCAGCUGAAACAGACUUCUCUUUUUAACUGGUCACCUUUAACACACGCUAUUAGUUUAGAAAUUUGAAGAUAAUCAUGAUCACUCAAUAGCUCUGUCAAAAAAAAAUGUACGCAUGAAAAUGCCAAAGAAAGACUACUUUAUGUCCCUCUUCCAACAAGCAAUAUAUUUGGAGGCAUAUGCAGCUGCUUUGGUGUAUGUGUGCCCCAGAUGUGCUGUUUAGAGCCUAAGGAAUCAUGGUAUGCGGCAGGACAGCAUAGCUGUUGCUCAGAUACCCCUACAGGCCUAGGCGGCUUGCACAUGUGGCCCCGGUGGAAUGCAGUUGGGCAGAAAAUGCAACUCAAGCAUUAUUGAGUGCCCCAACCUCCUGUGCCUUCUACCCCCCACUAUGUCUGCUUCCCAUUCUCCUUUUCUGUCCUCUCCCUCCUCCACCUUUCACCUCUGCCACCACCUCUUUCUCCCCCAUGCCUACUUGUCCUCCUGUUCAGUCUAGGCACCCACUUAGGUGCAUGUAUACAGCAUUCAUAUUAAAUACACACAGGACAACAACAUAUCGUAGCUAGUUUUUAGAAUUUUGCAAUAUUUCCAUGCAGAUCAUAUUGUUGUCAAAAGGUCUUGGGUCUUGUGGUGUAUGUUAUUUAUGGAUGAAAAGUAUUGAUUGAUGAAGUGAGGUACAUAUACACACAAACAAAGAGAGAGAGAGUUUGGGUGGGAGGGUUUGACGGGGGAGUUGUGGGAGGUGGCGUGAGUUAAAUAAUUUAGGCCUCAUGGUGUAUGUUAUUUUAGGCAGUAUUAACUGCUGAACUGUAGUCUAUAUAUCUUCUCAAUUUAAAUUCAAGCUCCUUGUUUAACCUCAUUUUGAUGGGAAAAUGCACCUUAAAGAAAUUAUUUUCAUAAUGAUGAACGGAUAUAUAAUGCAGUUAUUUUUACACGCAUUUAAAAAUGAAAUGAGGAAUGAUCUAAUCACUUACUUCAAUCAAUGAUAUCAACUACUUCUCUCCCAAGUCCCAACUCGCUUGCCUAAUCUAGAACCAAUGGAUUCUCAGGGCUGUGUACAAGGCUUCAGCCUCAUUUCUCCAGGAGGAAAAAAGCUAGUUAGCCAAUUCAUUUGUUGAAUCCUUUUCCCAUUGGUUAUAGUUCAGGUUAAUGCCUCAGUCUGUAAGAUCUUCGACAUAUUUCUAUUAAUGGAAUUAUACUAAUAACCAGAAGAAUACUUAAUGAGUCAUGUCUCAAUUAAUUAUACAUGUUGCUUCAGUCUUUUCAUUUUUUAAGAUAUGGUCUGUUGUAAAUCUACACAGUUUUCAUUGGUUCCUCUGUCAAUGUCAUGUUGAAUAUUUGUCCUCCUAAACUUCAUCUAAAAUACUCAUUUCCAACAUAUCCUGCCUAGAAAUAUCAGAAUCACUUCAAAUGUCAAACUCAUCUUUUGUUAUCAGAACCACUUAUAUCCAUCAUCUUACCAAACAGCCAGUAACAAAAUCAGGAUUCAUGAUUGUCUUGUAAAGGGAAAACUUACAAAAUCAGUAAUUCAGUUAAUAAGAAGCAGAUCAGAAAAUGAAAACAUCUCAACGAAUGGGAGCAAUUCAAGCAAUUUACAAUAGUAUGCAAUAUAUUUAUAAAAGAUCAUAAACUAUACAUGAAGUAACUGAAAUUUAAUAAAAAAAAGGCAUUAUUGAGUUUGUAAAUAUUCAAGGCAAAAUCAUUUAACGAGCAAUUUAAGGAUGAUUAUAGAAUUUUUCAACAAGUCACAGAACUUUGCCACUAGUUUUAACAGAGCAUUUCAAGCCUUAUAUGUACCUUGUAAAGGCCUUCAUUGAAGUCUUAAAAAGGCAUGCAACAAUGACAAAACUCAUUUGAAAUGUGUCUCAUUCGAAAUGUAUAUCCACUUCUUCAACCUUGCUCUAGCUCAAUCAAGCAUAUCUAUUUCAAUCUUCUUUUUUUUCUAAAUGACAAACCCAAGAUAGCAAAUUGAUCAUACCAUGUGCAUAGGUAGAUUAUAUUGCCGCCUAACUUUGAUAUUCUUAUUUUAUUGUGGUAUUCAAAUUUAUAAUUUCUCAUGUGAUUAAGAGUUGCAUCUUAAAGCCCACAACUUUACUGAAUGUUUGUAGCACAGCAUCCUUAUAUAGGAUGCAUCAUCUGUUUGGCAAAUCAAUCAGUCGCACCAAUUCUGGAAGGCACAAAACUCUGCAAAAAUCAAUACUCUAGAAUUAUCCACAGACCAUGACAGUGCUACAAAUUUUCUUUUGCAGUCUCAUGCUGAGUCUCUAAUACAUUUUUGGGCUCUUGCACAUUAUGUAGACAAAUCGAACCAUUGUAUCCAAUCUGGUGGCUUAAAAUCAGUAUGCAAUUAUGUUUUGAGACCACAACAAGAGGUAUUUCACCUAAAUUGAUAUAAGAUGGCCAAACUAAGUCUUAAUGAUCUUCAAGAUGUACUUGUCAAUUAUCAGCACACCAUCCCACAUCAUCCAUCAAUGCAUGUGUUUUUCCAAAUCUUAGAACCCUUGAAACUUUUUUCAGUAACCUGAGUUUUAAAAAUUCAUCUAAAUCCUUUCAAUUUUUAAUAUGAAGAAAGUAUUUAUCAGUUAUAGUUUGAAAAUUAUACCAGAAUUUUAAAAUAGUUUGUUUGUUCAUGUAUACAAAAACUUUUCAGAACAUGAAAAAUAUUGCUGUAUUACAGCCGAACAAAUCAACUAAGCAUCAUACAAAAAUUCAGGACUUGGGACUACCUGACUUUGAGAACUCAUCUGAUCCACAAGAAGCUCUGAUAUAAAUAUCCUUGGCAAAGGCCCAUCUAUACCGUUUCCACCAUCAAUAUAAUCAAUCUUGGGAGGUGCAAACCACAAUGCUUUCAACUUUUUUGUGGGAAAUCUCAAUUCUUCGCGUGGCAUAUAGCCAAAAUCCAUGAAAACUUUUGCCAUCGAAUCAAUACCAUAACCUUCUACCUUUGGUUGCAGAUGAAGCACAUUAUUGUACAUCAAGAAUGAUGCAACAUGGAUCAGUUAAGAAAGUGGUAACUAUUGCAUCAGUUGAGUACAACAGAUAAGCAAAAACAGAGUAAUUAGAAAAACCAGUUCAGUGUAUACCCCAAAUGUUCGGAAGGCAAAAUGAUCAUAGCAGAUAUGGUCACCAUCGCACGAACGAACAAGGUCCAAAAUUGCUUUGGCAGUUGGAUUCCUUGUCAUGUAGACCUUUUCCAUACUAGAAAUUAUUGUUCUGAAGAAUGACUCAGCACCCUGUGACAAAGAGAAGACUAGGGUUUUUUUUAAUAAAAAAAAAGAGAGGUUGGCCAACACAAGAAGCUUACAAGUAGCUGACAAAUUAUAAUUGCCAAAACCAUUCUAUGUGGCAAUCUUCAAUGGUAGAAAUAAACCAUACGAGUUUUGGAGGUGCUUGGGAUUUAAGGCAUGCCCAACAGUAACUUAACACCUUGUCUCAAGACAUACAAUUUACAGGCCUAGGACGAGAUGGUAUAUCAACAAACCAUGGCAUUUCAUGGUUCUUAGUAACAUAUUUUGACUUAGCAGAGCAUAUGAAAUCCCACAAACAAAGAUGUGUUGAGUUUACAUCAUAAUCCAACCAUAUGCAUAUGACAAAACAAACAUCCAAAGAUUCAAUUACAGAACUUCCAUGUCUUCAACCUUAGCACGAGGAACUUUACUUGCGUGAAUAUGUCUCUGACAAAUUUUGUUUGCAAAUAGAUAUACAGAUGCCCUUUUUGAUAACAAGGCAGAAACCUCCGACCCGACAUUCAUGAGUUUCGAAUGAAGAAUGAAGAGUGCCCCUCUUUUUUCUUCCCUAAAUUGCUUAGAAAAUCAGCAAGCUUGAUUUUUUUUCUCGUGGAAAACUGGCUCAGAUAUGCCCGGAGCAAAACUAGAGAAAACAAUGUAGACUUAAUACUUUGAAGAAACAUCAUACAGGGUGCCCAUUUUCUGGAAUGAUGCUGCCUUAUUUAGAAAACUAAUGCUACUCAUAGAGGGCAUUUUCGUUUUUGUUUUAACUUUACAAAUGGGUCUGCAGAAUCCUCCAGUACUAUGGUACGUGUGAUGCCCGGAGGUUUACAAGAUUAACGGCUUUCUUUUUGUGUCUUUAACUUUUAGUUCUUCUGCUUCUUGAUUGAAAAGAAAUCCACCGUUCCACGGUUUCCAUGCGUCACAUCAUGAUUCUUGAGCUAAAAAUUGUAGACGUUAAAAAACUACUCGAUNNNNNNNNNNNNNNNNNNAAAUCAGACCACCUCAUCGCCGGUGCUUUCCGAUUAAAGAAUCAAGGACUUCUUGAUAAAAUUCUAUUUCAUGGAGCUCUGAGAAAUCGAGCCCUUAUAAAACAUAGUUCUUCUUCUUUUUUUCCUUCUUCAAGAGCCCUUCUGCCAUUCGUUUUCCCCUAUCCUCCUCUCUGACGAACAAAAGAACUAGGAAGAUCUUUAAUACUCUGAAUCAAUUCCAAGUAAAUCGUUCAAGAAUCGAACCACCGAUGAAAAGGGUAGGGAAGAAUCGCAGGUACCUUGGGAGGUGGAUCCGCGAGAGCGGUCGCCUGGGAUCGGGCAGCCAUGCGGAGGUUUCGCCUGCGAUCGGAGAUCGGUCGGGCGGCUACGGAGAGGGAGGAGAGCGAAGGAAGCGAGACGCGAGACGGCUUCGAAGCGGAGAGGAAUAUCGGAACCCUGGCGACCGCUUCCAUGGAUCCAGCGGAGAUGAAGCCCGGGGUUCGAUUCUUGCAUUUUAUAUAUACAGUCGCGAACAAAUUACGUGUCGCCACUUCUUGGAGGAAGCACUGGAUGGAAGAGUCACGGAAACGAAUUCUUUCCCCAAAACAAAAGGCCAAAAUAAAUAAAUAAAUAAAAUAAAGGAGCCGCUCCCUCUGCCGGAGCGCGUGGUCUGGCCGCCACGCAGUUAUUGGCCCGUGCGGUGGGCCCGGAGGGUGCCAACCGCGCAAGGGUCGGAGCCGCGGGGGUUCGACCUUUUUUGGAUUUUUUUCAUAAAUAUCAUUUUAAAUAUCAAAAUUUGUAUGAAUAUUUUUUUAAUUGAUAUAUAUAUAAUAUUUAUUUUGCUAUUUUAUUUUUUAUUCUUAUUUUUGCACGUAUAUCUAUAUUAUCUAACGCCUUUAAAAAAUUAACGGUUUUAAAUUAAAAUUAAUGAUUUUAAAUUAAAAUUAAUGAAUAGAAGUGCAGGAAAAAAUAUUUAUAAGGCAAUCAUGAUAGAGUACAAAAAAAGUAAUAUCAAAUUUUUUUUAUUUUUAAUUAAAAUAAAUAUUGUUUUUAUUACUAUAUUAGGGGCAAAUGUGGGAAAAUAGUAUUUAUGAGGGUACAGAAAUAAAUAUAAAUUUUAAGAGAAUAUUUAUACAAAUUUAAAUUUUUAGAAAAAUAUUCAUGCAAAAAAAAUCAUCUUUUUUUUUUUACGAUGCAAACUGUUGCAUUGCGAAUUACACAUAUAUCAAAGCACGCCGCAUGGAUCUCAUCAAAACAAUUCUUGAAUCGAGGAUGGUUCGAGCUUGAAUCAAAUCGUACGUUGAUUCAAGCUUGCAAGCUUGGAUUAAUAUUUAGUUGAUAAAUUUAAAAGAUAAAUAAAAUAUAAUAAUUAAAGCUUUAGUUCAAUGAUUUAUUAUUUUUAUAAUAUAGGAUAUAAUAUAAAAUAUUUUAAAAUCUUAUCGAACCAAUUUUUUGCUUGGUUUUUAAAAUUAAAUUUAAGCUUUCUUUGUUGGUUCAAGCUUAGUCACACUUGAGUCAAGGCUUUCUCCAGCUGUUGCAUUUGUUUGGGGGACCUAGUACAAAAUACUACCAUUAUUCAAGAUUGGUAUAAAAUAAAAGUUUCUUAUGUUAUUUAGCUUUGAAAAAAAAAGAUAAAUUUGUUCAGAUGAAUUGAGAUUUAAUUAACUGCCUGGGCAAAAGCAAUAAUUGCCUUCCCUCGGGGGAAAAAAAAAACAAUGACUGCCCAACAAACUUAAGAGAAAGGGCCACUGAUAGAUAUUCGCUAAGAAAAACUCUGAAAUUUUGAAUUUUAAGGAUGUUUCUCGUCAAGUAACGUUACAGGCCCCAGCCAUGACACGUUCAACUGAAAAAAAGGGGAAAAAAGGAAUAUUCUAAAUGAUGAGCACACGUGUGUCAUGGUGCGAACAAUGCUAUCGCACGGGACAUUGAAAUUAUUAAUAUUUUUUCUCUUUUUGGCAUGAACACUUCCAACCCGAGACUCUAAAAACUCAUUCGAACUCAUCUGGUUCUUAUUUUUUUUCUUAUUAAAGUAUUUUUUUUGAAAAGCUAAUAUCUGCACCUAUGAUAUUUAAAAAAUAUUUUUUAUAUAUUUAGUUGACUAUAAAAAAUUAGCUUAGAGUAUAUUUUCUCAAAAAAUUAUAUAAAAUAUAUCUGUUAUAAUUAAGUAAAAAAUUUACCGUAAUUUAUCUAAACUCAAACAUUUUUUAAAAAAUAAUUUUCAGCUAGUAAAAAUUGAUUUUUUCAUAUUUUAUUCAUUUUAUUUUGAGAACUUAAAUUACAUAUAAGAUAUUUUUUUAUUAUUUUUGUUGAUCGAGAAUUUCUGCUAUUCCCGAGAAAUGUCCAAUUUCUUAUCUCUUAAUGCUCCUUUAUUUUUUUUGGACUCAUUUGGUUCACGAAAAAACUUUUAUUCAUUAGAAUACUUUUUUUGAGAAGAUGAUUUCUGAGAACAUGAUGUCUAUUUUAGCAUGUUUGGUUGAUCAUGAAAAAGUGGUACAUUAUAGAGUGGCUUAUGUUUUGUUGAGCAUCUAUUUUUCCAAAAAAGUUGCAUGAAAUACUUAUACUUUUUAGGAAAAAAAAGACAUUACCCAUGAAUUUUGAUAGCUUAAGAGUAUUUUUUUAAAAAAACUCCAAUUCUCAAUCGAUGAAAAAGUAGCUUUUCCAUAUUUUUUAUAUUUUUUUAUAAAAUAUAAAACUCCAAUUCUCAAUCUAUACUUUUUUUUUGCAGAUAACAUAGAAACAGUUCUUAAUCACUGUAUAAAUUAUAAUCAGAUAAUGGUCUUACAUAUCCAGUAAACUAUUAUCCCUUUAUCCCUGGUGGGAAAUGAUCUGGACAGAGAUAUUUCCAUUAUAAUUAUUAUCAUAAUUGCUUAAAAAUACUUAAUACAUAUGAAUUGCUUGCAAACUUGAGCUGCUGCCUUUUUUUUAGUCAUCAGGGCUAAUGUCCCAAAGUUGAAUGAAUGAAUGUAGAUGAUGUCUUUGAGCGAAAAACCGGCAUUGCAAAAGCUGUGGAAAAUGAACUUGAGAAGGUACUUAAUCUGUAGUUUAUUUAAACUUUUGCUCCAAUCAAUGACUAAUUGAGUGUAAGCUUCUGUGCUAAUCUGUUGUGCAGGCCAUGUCAACAUAUGGGUACAAGAUGGUGCAAACACUCAUUGUGGAUAUUGAGCCUGAUGAGUGAGUUAAGAGAGCUAUGAAUGAGAUAAAAGCAGGUAAGUCUGCUAUUUGUUGGCUGGGAGUGUGGAUUGCGCAAAAUGUUUGUCUUAACAUUUGCAUCUAUACUUGCUGCAAAUAAGUUUGACCUGCAAAUUUAAGCAGAUGUGUCUUUUUCCUUAUGAAUCAUAAGUUAUAGAGAACCAGCUACAUGCUUAACAGUUCAUAUUUGCUUUGUAAAGAAUUUGCUUGCAUGUUAGUGACCACUGUGACACUGGCUGCUGACAACUGAUGUAUGUUUGCAAAUGUAGUUUUAAUUGCAAUAGGCAUCAAGAAAACUAGUUAUCCUUGGGAUUUCCAUUUCUGUUAUUCCUUUUUUUCUUUCAUGCAUUCAAGAAAACAGCAACCUUUGCUUGGAAAAUUUUAUUUCUCUUCAUAAAAUAUACAACAAUAAAAAUAUGGAAAUACCUGCCCAAGAAUCUGUUAACAUAAACUGACAAUUGUAUGACAAUUACCUGCUCUAAACCAUGGUCGGUCAGAAUUGAAAUGGAUGCUAAACACUCUGGUGGUAGUUUUAGAAGUGUUAGAAUUUCAUAUGAUUUCUAUUAAAUCAUUCCCCACCUCCGGAUUCUUUUUAACUGUAUUAUUAAUUGCUUAAACAGCUGCUAGGAUGAGGCCUGAGGGUGGCAGCUAAUGAGAAAGCUGAAGCUGAGAAGAUACUGCAAAUCAAGCAGGCUGAAAGUGAUGCAGAAUCCAAGUACUUAGCAGGGCUGGGCGUAGCACGACAAUUGCAGGCCUUUGUGGAUGGUCUGAGGAAUAGCAUUCUUGCUUUCUCAGGAAGUGUGCCUGGAACCACAGCAAAAGAUGUUUUGGACAUGAUUCUAGUUACCCAGCACUUUGAAACCAUGAAGGAGAUUGGCGCAUCCUCAAAGACUUCAUCUGUGUUUAUUUCACAUGGGCCUGCGGCUGUAAAGGACAUUGCUUCUCAGAUAAGAGAUGGACUCCUCCAGGCUAAUACAAGUCAGCGAAGUGGUCUUGAGAAGCAAUAUAGGCCAAUGCAGAGGCAUGGAACAUACUAUUUCAGAGAAACUUUGGGGAAUAAACAUGUGGAUAUCUUGCUGGCUGCAGCGAAUAUUUUGGUCUAGUAGGAGAAACUAAUAGCUUAUACUGGAGCCAUGAUGCUGUCACUUUGUGAAAUCUGAGAUCGGUCAAAGAAGCAAUUAUAGUUCAUGAAACCUUAUAGUUGCCAUAUUUUUCAUGAUAUUGAGCUCAUGUUUAUUACCUCUUUGUAUCUCAUGCUCAGUACCGCUCAAGUUAUGCAUUUGUUCUCAUUGGCUGGAUGAUUUAAUGAGAAUGACACAAAUAUUUACAAGUCACUCUACAGUUACAAAUUUCAGAGUCCAACCUGCUACCAGAUGAAAUUUACAGGGAGUGAGAUCACUGUAUGAGGAUCUUGUCAUGAUGCUGUCAUCCCCAAUGCUUCUCAGUUUUUUUCAACUAUCAGCUCAGCUCCCAUUAAGAGGAGCAGCCCAAAUGUGCGAUCUACUGCAUGAGUCAACCACUGAUUGUGGCAAGGUUAACUUGAUUACGGGUUACAGUUUCACCUCAGAAAGGUCAAGCUAACACAGUUAGCAGUGGAUAUUGAAAACAAGUUAGACCUGCCUUGCUUGAUAAUGUGGUUAAAUGGAAUAUUUUAACAAGAAUUUUUUUUGGGACAUGGUAAAUAUUCACAGUUAACCCACGACUAAAUAGAUAAUAAAAUCAGAAAAAAAAAUAUAAAUAGACAUGGAUGAUAUAUUGACAGAUCAAAGAUGUAAUGCUGGGUUCAACUACUGGCCAUUCGCUAGUCCCAGCACCUGGGAGUCUGUGAUGCAUGCGUGCUCUGAUAUUCAAUAACCAUUUGCGGCCUGCCUCUGCACUUCAGAAGAAACUAUAUGGAAGUUUUGAUCAGGAAUUUGCAGGCACAUUCUAUUAUUGGAUCCUGCGAGCCAUGAGCAACUUCACAGGCGACAGCUAUUUUCAGGCAGAAAUAAUACUAGCAUUGCAUAAUAUUUGUGGGUUCUACCAAGUUAAUAACCUUUUUGCAUAAAGCCAUCCCCAUGCCUGAAAGUAGAAUCAGGUCAAUGUUUACAGUGUUUAAGUCGCCUUGCAGAAAGCCGUGCUGCAUCUUGAAGUUUACCAUCUUACGCAGCAGAAGCAUACCCUAUCAUCAUAGCACAGCAACCCAAUCAUGUGAAAAUAAGCGCUCAAUUCCACGAUAUAUAUACAAAACAUUUGAAACAAGUACUUGAAACAUUCAUUUUUCCUUUCCAGUAAAAUAUAAAUCUUUAGAACAUUCACACAUAACCUGGGAACUAUGUUGUGUGCAUUCUUGUCGUAGUGAAUAUUUCAAAGACUGACCUAGAAAGUGCAAGAGCCCUCACCAAAGCAAAGAUCAAAGAGCUCCUUUGAAUGGCACACCAUAUGUAUUGCUGCCAGUAAGCUUCUUGCAGCCUAUAAUAAACUUCAAAGCUUAAGGAAUCAUAUUUCCUUUUACUAUUAAGGAAUCAUAUUUCCACUUCUCUUGUGGUUGUAAAUGCAAUCUGUAAUGUGACUAAUGUCCAUUGACCGUGUUGCAUCCCCAUGAUACAAGUUCCUUACAAUCCCACCAAAUUAACAAACCUAAAUAACUCAAUUUAUAUAAACAAGAGAACUCAAUUUUUGAUAACCAGGAACUAUUCUUAGUAUACAGUCUCACCAAAAAACAUGAGAAGCUCUUCAUUGCAGACUGCACACUAAAGAGCAUUGCAAAGCAACCAUGUAACAGCUGCAUUUAAAUGAGGACUAAUCACUCAUCACUAGAGUACUCAUCCUCUUUAUCUUCAUGUUCUGUGACAACUUUCUCGAUGAACUUCUUUCGAAUUCCUUUUAUGACAGCCUUCUUUGAUGGAUCACUCCCACUCUGACCAUCAUUGAGCACUGGAUCAGACUGGCAAAGGGUUAAAGCAACAGCUGGAGGGAAAAAAGAAAAGAUCUUAGUAAUAAAUCAAUAGAUCAUGAACAGCUUUGCAAGCAACUUCAGAUGCACAAAUUGGUUGUCUGACAACAUGCUUUUAAUAGCAGAAACUAGGCAUAUGUUCCACUCCAAACUACAAUGGAAGAUGUAGGAAUUGAAAAAUGCAGUGGUCUGGUGAUAUAGCAUAAGAACUUGUGGUAAAAUCAGCAGGUAAUGUUCCAAUGAAGGUGAUGCUUAAACUAAUCUCUGAUGUGGAAAUUCAAGUCCAAGCACAGGAACAGAUUCAAGAUGCAUCAACAAGAACAUGAACAAUUAGUCUCAUCCCAUAGUUAUAGGUUUGGCUCUAGAACCUACACAAUAGUUUCAAGGUUAUUUAUGUGUAUUUAUAUGUAUUUUUUAAUGGAGAGCAUGUAUGUAAUUUUUCAAUGAAUUUGAUGAGAUUUUAGCUUUCUACUGGCUCAUUCGACGCUUUCUUCUUCUAAGCAGAUUCUCUUAACUUGUUUAUGAAUUACCACUAGUUGCAAUACAUGCCAAUCAGGUAUAUUGUUGACAAAGUUAAAUAAACAACACAUAGUUUAUAUUCACCGACAAAGCACAUUGCUAGAUCAUGCUAGGCGGACAUCAAAUAAUUUAUGCAGAUGAAAACCUCGAAACAAAUACAUGAAGUUUAGUCUCUAAAAUGAUAACCUGUCAAGGAUGAUUCCUUUUAGUUUUGAGCUGAGCCUAUUAUGAAAAUUUCACUCAUCGUUUCAUAGUUGUCUCUAAAGCAAAUAAAGAAGCCAUUAGAAUAAGAUAACAUUCAUUAUUUUGUCACAUCAUGGGAACUUUUUUUAUACAUCAGCCAAGAUUAUUUCAUCUCUUCUUUCCUAUCUUAUAAUGGUUUUCCACUCAUUGAAUAUCAAGAUCAAAGCAUCAAAUGAUAGUUGACCGUGUUUUUACCACAUCAGCCGAUAUCUCCAAGAUUUUAUAUUGGCUGAUAACAUCUGGAUCAGUUAAUUGCUUUAGAAAUUAUUCAGACUUCCAUCUUGACUGAGAAAAACCAGUAUCUUAUUUCAUUUCAGUUAUAGACCCACUCAGAUUGCCGAGUUAUUACUACUUAUAUAUUUCAAAUUUAAUAUAUAGAUGAUUUUGAUCAAAAAUAAAAAAUAAAACAGUACAAGCCUACAAUAUGGAGUUAACCUCAGAAAACAUAUGUCCUAAAUCAAAUGGCUAUUACAAGCAUAAAUGCCACAAAAACGCAUCAAGUUCUUUGACAUGCAAAGUAGGUGGGGCUGAAAAAUCUCCAUUCAUAACAGUUGCAUGGGUUACCUUCAGGUGUGCAUCUCCGAGCACCAAACUGAUGCAACCCUACAUAAGUUCCUUUAACUGCACCAUUGUUGUAAACCAAAACAGUUGGGAGGUUGCGGUCUGGGUAGUUCGGAAUGCAAUCUGUGGAGAUUAUCUUUACAAAUUUUGUUGCAGGGUAUCUGGUGGCCAGUUCUUCCAGGCAACGCAACAGUAUCCCACAUUCUGGUAUUCUGCCAUCCAAAUUACAGAACCAAUCCAAAAAAAGGUAAACACCACAAAGAAAUAGUACAAAUGAAUGCGGCGAAACAAAAAAAUAGUUGUGAAAUAGAUAGUCUUCAUAGGCAUAGGAAAUACUACACAUUGACCCAGAACCAAAUUUUGACAAGUUUGCUGAUCACUGGCAUCCGACUGGCAAAGAAUAGUUCGCAGAUAAUAAUGAACAGAUUUUAUUUCUAAACAACCUGCAAAUGCUCUUCAGGCUAUCACAGUUGAAUUCGAGUUGGGAUGAAAAAUUUACUGGUUGACAAUAAGGAACACUCACAAAAAAGAAAAAAAAGUUGUGGCUUUAAUCAAGAGUUCAUCAACGAGAGGGAAUCAGCCAAGAGAGAAAGCUUGAAAUCUCCCCAAAACCAAAUUUUUAAACAAUAAGAUAGAAGAGAAGCCCUAAAAUUACCCAUCCUUGUAGAGGAACACGACGACCCAGACAUCGGGCGGCGCCUGCGAGACCUCCCGAACGAAAUCCGAUCCGGAGAUGGGGACCACCGACCCGAACCGCGAAAUCCUGGCCUCCUCUCGCAUCUCGGCCAGCCUCUUCUUCCUUCACCACAGCCAAACCACAGGAAACCGUACAAUACAUUAAAAGAGAAAGGAUCGACGGCAAAACAAAAUAACCCUAGGAGGAGAGGAGGAGAGGGAGGAGAUUACCUGUACUCCUCGAGGAAUCGGUCGUCAUCGAGAUCGAGAUCGUCGUCAAGCUCUUCGAGGGUGCGUUCGUCGAUCCAGGCCUUGGAUUUGGGCUGGAGGUCGGGGUCCUCGGCAGGGACGAAGGGAGGGGGUUUGAAGGGCUCGGGCUUGGGGGGAAGGUUGCCGAGCUUCCGCUGGAUGUCGUCCCACUGGGUGCUCGCGCCCUCCACGUCCUUGUACACGAAGUGGUAAUCCGCCAUGGCUUCCUCUCUCUCGCGAUCUCUCCGGAGUCUGGAAUGGGGACUAUCGGAGCGGAAGCUCAAAAGCGGAGGCGGCGUGGGAGCUCCGAGAUCUCCAAUUAUCUAACUUGGGUCGGACGAUAUCGAGAUCUACAUUAUCUAACUUGGAUCAGACGGCCAAACGCUUUUGAUCUAGUUUGAUGCGCUUCGGCUUCGCUUUCCCGAGGGCAGGCGAUUACGCUCUUUUAAGGGGCCAUGUAUAAAACUGCUUAAACUAUAUUUAAGCUGGUGUCGUCAACCGGCUCGCCGGGUCUGGUUCAGAUUUAGCCCAAACACUUCUCUAGGUAAACCGUCCCUCCGGGAGUUGUUCAGAUUUAGUUCGAGCACUUCUCUACCUAAAGCUAGGGAGCCACAUCUAGCUUUUAUUAUAUCUACAUAUAAUAAUUUAUAAAAUCUGUACUUACAUCUAGUUAAAUUAACAAUAUUAAUAAAAUUAUUUAUCUCAUGUAAAAAAGCCGAAAUUGUCUUAAGUGGGAGGAAGAUAUAUAUAUUUUCUUAACUUCGUGGAUAGUUGUUAUGUCACUUAAGAUUAUUUUAGUUAUUUUUGAAAAAAAAAUUAACACAGUAUUUAGGUUCCAUUUAAGAUUAAUAGUUCGACUGACAUUCUCAAGUUAUGGAAUAAAAUAUUGAAUAGAAAUAAACCUAUAGGGAUAAGCAUAAAUUUUUUGAACUAUUGGAUGUAAAUAUAAUUUCUCCCUAAUCUUACAUAGAUUUUAUUGUAAUUUACUCCUAUUAUUGUGAUUUAAAAAUUGCACUUGCUCUUUGCUACCAUAUCGUAGUUUCUUCUUUAAAUUAACCACAUCAUGUAUUUGAGAAGCAGUAGAGCAGUCCAGUACCUCUGGUCAAGCAAGAAGCUAUGAAGCAGUAGAGCUCAUGGUAAAAUUUCCAAAGAGUUGAGAUCCCUGACCAGUUCCAUGAAGGAACCGAAUCUUGGCGACCAUGAUUCUGUUGAAACACAUUAAUUCUAAACUUGUCUUAGUUGGUAAUCAUGAGAUGCUACGUGUUCGCCAGGUUGUCUCAGAUAUGUCAUCUGAAGUGGGAGAAAUUUUAGUUUUUGGUCUCAAGCGCUCUUCAGAUAUCUGGCAAAGCACAGGAUAGAAAAGCAGGUUAGGAGCAACUGCACUAAAAGCAUAGAGCUGCUGAAUGUGAUGGAGAUGCAGCAGAUGCCAUUGGUCCUGAUGCAUGCCACUGGCUUUUAUUUUGAAAAAAAAGAGAGCAUGGUUUUACAUCUGGAUCAUCACCUUGUCUACCAAUCUAUGGGGCUGGCUGCAACUAGAUUUCCAGACAGCCUUACUAAGAGGAAAUCUGCUUGUCUGCAUGACUCUGUUUUAGUUUUUCCUUCUCGUUUUUCUGCUGGUCCUUCUUUACUUGGUCAUAUUUUUCGGAUGGCUUUAAUUUUGUUUCAUUUUAUUUUUUGUUCCUUUGAAUGCAUUUGAGGUAUCCUGUUCAUGAUUAUUGUUUCCAUUUUUGUUUAUGAUCACAAUGAUCAUCAAUCUAGGCACUGUCUUAUCAAGAUUCAAUGCAUUAUCAACUGCUGCUUGCAUGAUAAUAUCCUUGUGAAGCUUAGGCGAUGUCAGCGCCCUUGAUGCAUUCCUAAAAUUCUUAGCAGGAUCAAGUUCUUUUCUGAAUGAUAUAACAACCUCUAUAGGAAUUGCUUUGAAAGUAGAAUUAAAGCCUAGUCUCAUUUGUGAUAGAAACUAUCUAUACAGCUUCUAGUGAAACAGAUUAGUUUCUCAAAUGUCUGAUUAUGAUGGCAUGCUUAGUAAUAGGCGCUUGCAACAUUUUCAGAAGUGUUUACACCAUAAUUUAAACUUUGGAUAUAGUGCACAUUGGUGGCAUCCAAGAUGUUAGUCUUGCUGUCCUCUUCUCAACCUUGCAUGUUGUUAGGUCUAAUCAAGUUGGACUAAACAAUAGGGGCCUUCUUAGGACAGGACCUUGGAUAGUAGGACUUGUUAUGAUAGAGGAAAAUAUUGAUGGAAGUUCUGCUGAUUGUUCUUUGGAUUAAGAACUUGGGUUCUAUUCUUUUUUUACGAUUAGUCUUUUUUUUAUCCACCCUCUUUCAAACUUUGUGGUUGAGCAUACGGAGAACUCUUGUACUUAAUGCAUGCCAUCCCAAUAGUCAUUAGCAUUUUCACAUGAUCUUCAUUUGACUCGCAUAUUAUUCUUGCAGUCUUAUUUAACUUCAUCUUCCAAAUUUUCAUGCAUGCAUGAAGAAUGUUAAAGACAUUCUCAAUCUACUAUUUCGUAUGGUUAGUUCACAUAAAUGAAUUCGAUUUCUCUCAAAGAACAAGACCUGAAACCCAAGUUUUCCCUACAAUUUUACUUAGCUGGAAGAUUUUUAUAUGCUAAAAAUGGGUGACUACAAUAUUUAGUUGUAUAUUUAGGUGGUAAGCUGUUGGAAUCCUUGCAGCUUGCAAUGCUCAUCAGAUGACUUGGAAGUGCCUUGAUAGCUCUGCAUGAACCGAGAUGCCUAACCUGUUGCAAAUGUUGUGCAUCAACUUAUAUAGAUAUCAUGUUUUGUGUUUUUAUGUGGUGAGAAUUUACUGGCUAAGUCUAAGGCUUAUUUAUUGUUAUCUUAAAAUUUAGUAAGUACCCUUUACAUUUUGAGCUCUUCGAAAAUUUCAAACCUUUUCAUUCACUGGAAUUUGGCAAAGCUGCUUAUAUCCAAAUAUACCUUAUCAAGCUAGUAAAAUCUUUUAAUAAUGAUAAUAGAAAGCAAGUUCAAUUCCUCCUCCCUUCACAUAGAAAUCUGUCUAUGGCCUCCUUUGUUCUUUUUUUAUUUUAAAAAACUAAAUUUAAGGUUAAAAAAUUUCGAGAAAGUUUUGUAAGAAAAUAUAGUAACUUCUAAAUUUAAAAAGUUGAUACAAAAUUUUAAGGCUAGGAUAAAAUUUUCCUAGGCUCUUCUGCAGUAGCUCGCCAACCCACAAUAUGAUCAAGUUCUGAAUAAAAUUUGCAUGAAAUUAUAAUUAGCUUAUUUUAGAGUAUAACUAGUAUAAAAUAAAACUUGCAUCGGUCUUGUACAAGCUUGUUAUCUCUAUACUAUCUUUGUUUAUUAUGCUCUAACAAGUUUAGUUUUGGUUAUUUAUACUGCAUAUAAUUCUUGUGAUGUAUUUUCUGAACUCUGCCCUUAAAGUAAAUCCUACUCAAAACUUAUAUAAAAGGUACUAAAAACUGUUGCAAGUUUUUAGUAUAUGAACAUGGUAAGGCAAAAAAAAAUCUAGUUGGAGGGCUAGUGGCAUCCUUCCACACUAGCUCACCAACCCAUUGGUCCAGGUUGUACAAGUGUUAAAUGAAAUUUUCACGAGGUUGUGAAUAGUUGAAUUAAAAAUAUUAUUAGUAUAACAGAAAACUUACAUAGACCUUGAGCAAGUUAGUCAAUAUGUUAGCUCCAUAUUGUACUUGUUUAUCGUGCUCUAACAAGUUCUGAUAUUUAUUUAUUUAUUUAUUUAUUUAUUAUUGAAUAAUUUUAUGAAGCAGUUAUCAUUUUAGGUGUGUUUUCAAAUGCUAUCUUUUACAAAUAUGUAUAAAUUCUAUUCAAAAUUUAUGUAGAAAGUAUUAAAAAUAUGCAAGUUGUCAACACUAAUAGAACUGUUCAAAUGUCAGGCGGCCUACCAGCUCCGCUCAAGCCCAAUGUGUUUCGGACAUGUCUGGGCUGGGGUUUUAAGCUCGGUAGAUCAAGUUGGGCUAAAAAUUUGAGCCUGCUCAUUAAAUGAGCCAAGCUCAAGUUUACGUUGUCUUGGCCCGAAUCUAGAAUGUAUAUAAAUAGAAAAUAUAUUACAAGUGGAUGCCCUAGCUCAUCAUUAGUCUUUACUUCUCACCACGGUAGUGCCUCCGAUCAUUGAGCAUUGUCCGACGAUCUCUCGAUCUCGUCAAGAGUCUCUAGGUCCUCAAUGCUAGGAUCGAUCUGCUUCGGUGGCUUCUCACUUCCUAAGAGGAUCAAUGACAAAAGGAUUGACGGCUUGAUCGGGUCUCCACCAAGAAAGUGUAGACCGUCGGUGCUGAGGGACAUGCAAACUCCCAUUGUCUUGUCCGGUCCCACACCCUCCUAGUCUCCAACCUCCACGUUGUUGCCUUACCUCCUCUAAUCCUUCGCUCACCUCCACCUCUUUAGCAAGCUUCGUGACCUCAUGUCCCACAUUGCUGACCGCCUUAACCUCGCCAAGGCCAUUGAUAUGCAUUGCGAGAUCAAGCGUAGCCUUGUCGGCAUCUCCGUUGUUGAGGACGAGACACUAGCAACAGGCUCUCAUUCGAGGCCAUGAAGACUUCUUGCAGAUCUAAGAUGCAGACAAGACGAUAAAAGCCCAAGGAUCAGCCUAAAAGUUCGAAGUCUGAUAAAUAUCAGCUCAAGCCUAGAAUGUAGGCUCGAGAGUCCGGCCGAGUUCGGAUCUAAUUAAAUUAAGCGAUAAAUUAGGCCGAACUCUAGCUUGAACCCAAUUUGUCAUGCUUGUUGAGCGGAUCUACAUGCCAGUAUAGAUGUGGCAUGAAAAUCUAACUUUAUAUUUGUCCAAUUUUUAAAAAAAUUGUAUGCAAAGCGAAAAAAAAUUAUAACAAAUACUGAAUUUGUAACAUAAAAAGUAGUGUAUGUUUUUAUGAUAUCCACAAAAUCUUAACAUAAGAAAAUUAUGUAACAUUAAGAGUAUUAAGAUAUUAUUGAAAAUAAAGAAAGCUUCGUUUGGAAGAAAAAUGGCGGCAAAGAGACCUAGCAACACAAAUCUGUUCGUAACCGUCGAUGCAACAUGUGUCGCCGGCCCACCGCCUUGUCUUCUGUCUUUCCCUAGCCUUCUCUCCCCUACGGCUAUAAAUACCCCCGGUGUAAGCGAGGCAAGAGAUGUCUUGGCGCUGGGAUCUGCGUGGAGUGAAGCCGGGCAAAGAGAAAUCUUGAGAGAGCGAGAGCGAGAGCUCAAACAAAGGAGAAGAGGAGGAGGGAAAGAAAAAUCCUCCCUCGCCUCCGGAAGCGAUGACGGACGGCCAUCUCUUCAACAACAUCCUCCUCGGAGGACGCGGCGGAACCGUAAUCCCCUUCUCCCUCUCUCUGGUGUUUGUCUCGCUUUCGGUUCUCUUUUGACCGCUCUAGGGUUGUCUUGAGUCGUUUGCGAUCUUUCGUUCAUUCUUUCCUUCUUCUUUUUCUUUUUAUUAUUCUUCUUUUUUACGAUUUGAAGGAAGCAUAUAGAUUUUUCUUUUUUCUUUUUCCCCUUAUAUCUGGGGAGAUCCAGUGCAUUUCGCGUUCCUAUGGUUUCUUUUCUAGGUAUCGGUUUGGUUGAUUUGGGGAGGUUGAACAUGGGUUAUCUUUGAAGGCCUUGGAAGUCUUGUUAGGGUUUUCUAUUAUGAAAGUGCUCGAUCGUGGAACCCAGGGCAGUUGAGGGUGCAUGCAGGCGGGAUUGCAUGGAGGAGGCAAGGUGGUGGAAAAAUUAUUGAAGUAGACAAAGCAGAUAUUGCUUCUCUGACCUGGAUGAAAAUUCCUAGGGCAUAUCAGCUUGGGGUGAGGAUCAAGGAUGGCUUGUUUUACAAAUUCAUUGGCUUCCGUGAACAUUUUAAGUUGGUUUUUCAUUCCCGUUAAACGAAUCUUUCGUCACUUCUAUCAGUUGUUCCUCGCAGAAGAUUUUUUCCCCCUUUUUUGGUUAAAUCAAGAUAAAGAAACAAAGGGGGUACUUGGGCCUGCUGGUGCUAAUACGUUCGCAAUAUUUUAUAUUAGAUUUUUUUGGCAUUUUUUAUAUGUGUUACCGUGGAAUUUUGUUUAUUUGUUACCACUGAAUUUUGUUUCUUACGAUAUUUUUCCAUGUCUUCUGUCAAUUUAUUGAUGAUGCAAUGCAUCCAAGAUAUUCCUAAUUAGGAGAAAAAUUAAACUGGGGAUUGGGAUUUUUUCUAUUUUGUUUUUACCAUUAUUGACUAAUUCUUUUUUCCCUUAAAUAAAUUAUGGGUAUCAUCUGCCUGUUGUAUCUGGUUCCACAAAUUCAAUUAUCACUUGGUGCAGAUGGUUUCUAGGAUACUUUAUCUUUUGCUUAUAGAAGAAAUGUUCUUUAUAGGUCCUGGGAACUUUUUACGUCAUCUGGUGCACCAGUAAUGAAAAAAUUUGCAAAAAUCUUUUAUAAACCUAUUUGGUCAUCAAACAAUCUUUGGAUAUAUGAAGUUCUAUUGCUUUUUUUUAAGUGUCUUACCUUUUCAUUGUUUUUGCUGAUUAUAUUUGUGCAANNNNNNNNNNNNNNNNNNNNNNNNNNNNNNNNNNNNNNNNNNNNNNNNNNNNNNNNNNNNNNNNNNNNNNNNNNNNNNNNNNNNNNNNNNNNNNNNNNNNNNNNNNNNNNNNNNNNNNNNNNNNNNNNNNNNNNNNNNNNNNNNNNNNNNNNNNNNNNNNNNNNNNNNNNNNNNNNNNNNNNNNNNNNNNNNNNNNNNNNNNNNNNNNNNNNNNNNNNNNNNNNNNNNNNNNNNNNNNNNNNNNNNNNNNNNNNNNNNNNNNNNNNNNNNNNNNNNNNNNNNNNNNNNNNNNNNNNNNNNNNNNNNNNNNNNNNNNNNNNNNNNNNNNNNNNNNNNNNNNNNNNNNNNNNNNNNNNNNNNNNNNNNNNNNNNNNNNNNNNNNNNNNNNNNNNNNNNNNNNNNNNNNNNNNNNNNNNNNNNNNNNNNNNNNNNNNNNNNNNNNNNNNNNNNNNNNNNNNNNNNNNNNNNNNNNNNNNNNNNNNNNNNNNNNNNNNNNNNNNNNNNNNNNNNNNNNNNNNNNNNNNNNNNNNNNNNNNNNNNNNNNNNNNNNNNNNNNNNNNNNNNNNNNNNNNNNNNNNNNNNNNNNNNNNNNNNNNNNNNNNNNNNNNNNNNNNNNNNNNNNNNNNNNNNNNNNNNNNNNNNNNNNNNNNNNNNGCGCAAGUGCAGGGAAUCGUGUGCGGGAAUCGCGUGCACGCGAUUCCCUGUGUGGGGACCGAGGUUCGUACCAAAAAAAUGCGCGCAGGCGCGAGUCGGGGACAUGUUUCCCCACUCGCACCCGCGCCCCCAUGCACGGGACGACCUCUCUCCUUUUUUUUUCCUUCUGCUGUUCAUCUUGCCGACCCUUCUCCUCCUCUUCUUCCUGAACUCUCUCUUUCUCUCCUUUCUUUCCCUCUCUCCUCCUCUCUUCUCCUCUCUUUCUCCCUUCUCCCGCGAGCAAAGAAGGGGCCGGAACCGCACCGGAAAACAGGUGAUCCUCGUCGGCCCGAGGGAGGAGGUCAGCCUGAGGGAGGAGGUAGGCUUCUUCUUCUUCUCCUCUCUCUUCUUCUUCCUCUUCUUCCUCUUCUUCUUUCCUCUUCUUCCUCUUCUUCUUCUCCAGUGCCGGUACCGGGCUUGUACUGGUGCGAACCGCACCAGUUCCCACCGGUACGGUCAAGGAGUCUUUUAGGGGUCGGAACCGAAUUCUGUGGCGGUACCGGUGCCGAUACUGGCCGACACGGGUAUGGUACAGGCUGAACCGGUCGGUUCCGACCGGUUCAGCUAACCUUGAUUGUAUCAAUACUUGAAAAACCUACCCAGCCAUGAUAAUGCAGAACCGACCGGUUUAGCUGACCUUGAUUGUAUCGAUACCCGAAAAACCUACCCAGCCAUGAUAAUGCUUGAAAUCGAGCAGUAUGGGUUGGUGCAGCACAAAAUUGGCAGGAAUUAAUUGAUUCUUCAUAGUAGAGCCUGAAUCAGUCCUUGCACUUUAUCGAAUCUUAGUAUUGUACUAGAUUACCUUACUGGCAUGGUAUGGUAUGCCCGAUACUGCAUGUUUCAUGUUACAGGUUGGUAUAGUGGACCAUGGUAUGGUCAUAAAGGUGUUAUGUGGUUGACAAAUUUUGCUAAAUGGUUUAUACGGAAGUCAAGAAUGAACUGGUUCUAUGAACAAAUUUGUUUGGUUGCUUUCUUUAGAGCUUAUUUAUGAACAGAAGUCCAGACUCUAGAGUUUUAUCUAUUAAUGGUGAUAUUUUGUUUGGUGAAUUAUGUUUUAUGAUUGCGGACUUCUAUAUUUGUUGUUAUUUGAUUGCUGAAUAUCUUUAUUUUAUGGUUGAUGUUAUAUGAUUGUGAAUGUUUUUAUCUUAUGAGAUGUUAUUUUGCUUGGUGGAUGAUGAUUCAUUAGCUUGCGGGCCUUUAUAUUAUGUGGAUGUUGACAUGAUAUUAUGAUGUUUGGUGGAUGAUGUUUUAUAGCAUUGUCCUUAAUUAUUUGGUAUUUUUGCAUGAAGCUGAUGUGAAAUAUUAGUUUUUGAUACUUAGCAAAGAAAAAUAUUGAUAUAUUUUACCAGCUCGCUUUGGGUAUGUAGCACCAGCUCUCCGUCAUCCGUUAUGAAACCCGUUGGCCCCUACAUGUUCGCUAUCUGAUUUUUAUUACAUUGAUUUUGCCAAAAGUAGUAAGUUAUGGAAUCUAAAUGAUUUCCCCUCAUAUUCACAAAGGUUUAUCUCCAGAGAAUCAUAUUUUUUAGUUAUUUGUUUUAUAUAAACUUAGAACAACUCUAAAAGGUUGUUUUUUAGUUUUGAGGGAUUCUAAAAGGUGUUUAAUGAAUAAUUUAAUGAAUAAUAAAUUAAUCAAACAAGAAAAUGUUGACUAGUUACUCAUGACAUGACAUGGCUUGAGAGUUUUCAUUAGAUCAUUUAUGGACCAUCAUUCAAGAUCAAUUAUGGACCAUCAUUAGGAGUAAAAUAUGGCAUCAAUAGUUUCUCGGAGAUGGGAAGAAAGGUCAGAUAAUUUUAUAGAUGUCUAAAGUUCAUCUAUUAUAAGAGUGAUUUUUCUUGGUUACUAGCACAGACAAACAUGCAAUGCAUGUGUGAGGAAAAAUAUAUGGCUAUGCAUUAUUAUGGAAAAAAUAUAUAUUUGUAUUCACAAUACUAUGUGAUAUUUCAAAUGGAUCAUAGUUUAUAUGGCUUAUUUUUGCUUUAGGUAGUUUGUUCCUAUGCAUGCGCGAUUGAAGUAGAGGAUAGGCAGGCACGGGAUAGUGCUGGAUUGGUUUGGUAGGAUAGAAUGCCGCUACCUAUAUUUUAUGAUCAGAUAGGGCGUUAAUGUAAUCUUGGUUUAUGUAGUUUAUGUACUAUUCCAACUUUGCUGGUUGAUCUUUUAACAUUGAGUAAUGCUAUGGUUUCCAAUACUGGAAUCAAAAGUUUGUUUCCAGUACUGGGAACUAUUGAGCCUUGUAGCAGUCUUUUCUAUUAUUAAACAUUAAAAUGUGCAAUACUUACCACUGUCACCAAUCGCCUAUCUUCUAGAUUUGUUUUGUUCAAAUAAGGAGAGAAUUUAUAUUGAUGUUAUGCCCACUUUAUAUCACUCCAAAAAAAAACAAUAUUUAUUUUGGAGAGAGAGAGCUUGUGCGUGGAAGAUUUGAACAUAAUCUUGGUGGAUUGGGUGGGAUAACAAGAUAAAGGUUGCAUAUGGGAGAUAUUUGAGAAAAGGCUAAACAUGGUUUCUUGAUGGUAUUUUGGCAAACAAGGUUAUAAAUUAGGUUUUGAGCAAGUGUUUUAAUGCAUCUGCACAUGCAGAUGCAGCUUGGGGACCACAUUUUAUUGGGGUUGGGCUGCAGUGUGAGGCAUUAGGCAUCUAUGUAGGGUACAUGGCCAGGACACGCUGCAUGGUGCAUAUCGAUUGUGAUGGUGAUGGAUGAUACGGUAUUUACCGAAGAAGAUCAACAUUUUGAGUGCCUUCUUAAAAACUGUUACUUAAAUACUAAUGUUUUGCUUUAGCUGGGUAUUUUAAACUCAAUUAUAAGUUAUGUAUUUUUGUUUCAUGUUUCUGUUAUUGUUCAAUAUGUAAAUUUCUUUGUUGCAUUAACGUACCUGAAUUUUGGCAUAGUUCAUAGGCUUUUUUUAUUUAAGGUUAACUUGCUGUACUACAUGAAAGCAGGCUUUUGAAUAAGUGUUGUAGUGUACACUUAAAGUUUCAGUUUUUUAAACUUAUUGUUUUGGUUUUUACUUACAUUUAUCUAUUUUAUGUAAUCUAUUUGUCUCUAGAUAUUUCUAAAAUACCAACCCUACAGGUGUAACUGCACAUGCACUGCAUAUGGCGUACCUCAAUUGCCUUUCUACUACUUCGAUCCUUAUGGAACAUUUCAAAGUUCUGUUCUUAAUCUCUAGUAUGUUAAAAUAGAGAUUCAUAAGCUAGGAAUAUUCCUCCUAGAUUUCAUCCUUCAUUUUUUUAAAAAUCAAAAUUCAAAAACACUCCCAUUUUUAAUCUCAAUCAAUUGUUUGCUCUUCCAUAUUUGUAGAUUAAAUUCCGGAAUUAGUCUGCAUAUUCUAGAAAUCAGUGAUAUUUUGAAACAUUUUUCUAAAAUCAAAUUAGUCAUUUAUCUGCUAAAGAAAGGCAAUAUUAGACUGGGUAUGGAUGUCUUAACAAGGAAAGAUUUUGAAAAUAGUUUGAACAGGUUUUCCAAAAUACUUAGAUGGUUCCGGUUGUUGAAAAGGAAGGACAAUCCUCCUCCACCCUUGACAAGUCUAGUGACAAUAUCCAAAUUGGUCUUGAAUUUCGAAAAUCAAUAAUAUCAAACUAUGGAUUCUGGCUACUAAAAAAUGAGAGAGAAAUUACUCACUCCCUCUGCUUUUAUUUCCAUAUAUAUCCAUUCUGAUUUGAGGCGAGACAAGCAUUUCGUAAUGUGGAUAGAUUUUGAUAUCUUGAUUUCAAAAGAUAUUUUUGAAAUAUUUUUUUUAUGUAAAUAAUAUUUUAUAGUUUGUGUAUAAGGUAAAUUAUAGUUUAUAUAUCCAUUAAACGUGCUUUGCACUUGCCUGGUUGUUGGUAACUUUUUAAAAUAGAUGGGCCUCUAAGAGUGCUUACUCUGUCCUAGUAUAGAAAUAAUUUGAUUGUCGUUAUAGUUACAUAUAUAUUAUGGGAUUCAUUAUCGGGGUCCUUGAGAAUAGCUGAAAGGGUAGUUGAUCAAUUCCUACUUGACUUAAAAGAUGCAUAUCAAUUCUUUGGAUGUCCUUUCUAAAAGAGUAAGGAAAAGUAGUUAAUUCUCUACCCAAAUAGAAACUAGCAAUAAGAAAGAGUCUGACAUCUUGGCUAACCUUUAUUGGCGAAAGAUUAUUCUCAGAAAUUCAGUAAACACCUCCAAGGCUAUACAAAUAGAGAAAAGAGUUAGGUCUCACUAACUUAAUUAGAAACUUGUNNNNNNNNNNNNNNNNNNNNNNNNNNNNNNNNNNNNNNNNNNNNNNNNNNNNNNNAGUACUAUGACCUGUAUUGAUCGACUAUCGUUAUGGUAUAAUAGGAAUACAUACUAUACUGUGCCAAAAUGUACCGAAAUAGGGAAAGGGAGGGGGAGAAGGAGAGGAAGAGGGAGGGAUGGAUGGAGAGAGAGAGAUAGAAAGUCGGAGGCAGUGCCUUGAGGCAAAGGGGAGUCAAUGAGAGGGGGAGGGAGAGAGAGAAAGUGGAAGAGGAAGAGGGCGGUGAGAGGGGUAAAUAGGGGAUCUAGGAGCUCCCCAUGCUUGGCACGACCGUUGACUGAGUGGCAGGGUAAUGGGGUCUUGAUGGAGGGGGGUAAGAGAGAGGGAGGGAAGGGGGGAGAGAGGGAGGGGAGGAGAGAGGCUUACAUGCUGGUCUGCGAGGGUGAGACAAGCGCGAUGCUCGAGCGAACAGGAGGGAGAGACGAAAAUUCUUAACCAAAUGAAGCAACAAAGGCGAGCCCUCUCAAUUUCGAUUUUAUAUGCUAAACCAUGCUGGUAACCGGCUGGUCCGAUUUGGUAUGCCUCGACUAACCAAUUCAAUGCGGUUUGGUAAUCCAUGGUGACUUCUCUAGAUGAGGAUUAUCCUUGGAGACGUGGCAAGAUUCCUUUCCGCAGGACUUCCACAAGUCAUACAGGAACAUUGGCACAUUUUGGAAACUCUCACAUCCCAACCUUCUUUUUAUUUUUGCACUUACUAUUUCUUCCUUUUUUAUGUAGGAUCGAGUGUUAUAUCAUUGAUACCACUAAUCUGAUAGGUUUGUAAGGCAAUAGGCCAAAAGUAAAGGAAGUGUAUAGGGAGCAAAGUAAAGAAUUUAUAUAAACGAUUUAAGAUAUAUUUCCUAUAUUUGGGACAACAAAAAACAAGGUUUGCCAUAUCGUUCAGUACCGGUCAUACCGACUGUAGCGUAUUGGUCCCGAAUUGGUAUGCGGUACGGCAGGCAUACCGACAAUCUGCGAAACCGAGUAUCGUAUCGAGCAUACCGGCACUUUAAUAGGAUGGUACCGGUAUGGGGUGCGAUAUCGAGGUUGCGAACCUUAACGAAAAAUGUCUCCAUAAUGCUAAUCUCUUUAAGGGUGUGCUUGGUGUUAGUUUUGCUUUUUUUUUCUAAGGAAGUUCUCACAAAAUGAACCGGCCCCAUCUCUUAGUCAAUCCGCUACGCACCUUAAGCACUAGAAGGAAUCCGGAAGGAGGUGAAUCCCUUAGAAGUUUCGAUCUUCCCCCAGCCUUGCCAUCGAGAGUGAAACUUUAUCCAACUCUUGAAUACCAUUAGUGGAAAGCAGCAAGGAGAGCAGCAGGUAAUUGAUUAAGGAAGCAAGAACUAUUAGGCAACGAGGGGCCUUUAUAAUAUAGGAACUUGUUACGAGUAGAUUCAUUGGAUUAGUUCAUCAAUAGCCUUAAGUCAGAAUCUUAUUUUCUUUUGACUCUGCACCAUUGAUUCCACUAUGAUUAUUGAUCAAUAAUCAAUAAUGAAAUAAUUCCUA
rnacentral:lncRNA from 1 species